ACAAUAAUACUUUCUGUACACACCUUUUGAGAGAGACACACAUGAUUCGGAAUUUGUUAGAAUACUCUAUGUGCUUCACUUAUAUCUUUUGAGCUAUAUAGUUUUUGCUCUAGUACUUCACUUAUAUCUUUUAGAGCACGGUGGUGGUUUUAUUUUAUAGAAAUUCUUGAUCUCUCAUGCUUCACUUAUAUUAUUUUGAGAGUCUUAAACAGCAUGGUAAUUUGCUUUAAUUGUGAAAUUAAUCUUCCCUAUUGAGUUCAUUGAAUAUCAUGAGAAGUUUGAUACUUGAUAAGUGUUUUGAGAUAUAAAGGUGGUAAUAUUAGAGUGUGCUAGUUGAGUAAUUGUGAAAUUUAGAAAUACUUUUGUUAAGGUUGGCAAGUCCCGUAGCAUGCACGUAUGGUAAAAGUUGUGUGACAAUUUUGACACAUAAGGUGUUCUUUUAUUGCUUUCCUUAUGAGUGGCGGUCGCGAACGAGCGAUGGUCUUUUCCUACCAAUCUAUCCCUCUAGGGGCAUGCGUUGUAGUACUUUUCUUCGAGGGCUAAUAAAAUUUUUCAAUAAGUAUAUGAGUUCUUUAUGACUAAUGUGAGUCCAUGGAUUAUACGCACUCUCAACCUUCCACAAUUUUCUAGCCUCUACGGUACCGUGCAUCGCCCUUUCUCACCUUGAGAGUUGGUGCAAACUUCGCCGGUGCAUCCAAACCCCGUGAUAUGAUACGCUCUAUCACACAUAAACCUCCUUAUAUCUUCCUCAAAACAGCCACCAUACCUACCUAUCAUGGCAUUUCCAUAGCCAUUCCGAGAUAUAUUCCCAUGCAACUUUCCACCGUUCCAUUUAUUAUGACACGCUCCAUCAUUGUCAUAUUGCUUUGCAUGAUCAUGUAGUUGACAUCGUAUUUGUGGGAAAGCCACCAUUCAUAAUUUUUCAUACAUUGUCACUCUUGAUUCAUUGCAUAUCCCGGUACACCGCCGGAGGCAUUCACAUAGAGUCAUAUUUUGUUCUAAGUAUUGAGUUGUAAUUCUUGAGUUGUAAGUAAUAGAAGUGUGAUGAUCAUCAUUAUUAGAGCAUUGUCCCAUGUGAGGAAAGGAUGAUGGAGACUAUGAUUCCCCCACAAGUCGGGAUGAGAUUCCGGACUAAAUAAAAAAAAGAAAAAAAGAGGCCAAAUAAAAAAAGAGAAGGCCAAAAAAAAUGAGAGAAAAGGAGAGAAGGGACAAUGUUACUAUCCUUUUUCCACACUUGUGCUUCAAAGUAGCACCAUGAUCUUCAUGAUAGAGAGUCUGCUAUGUUAUCACUUUCAUAGACUAGUGGGAAUUUUUCAUUAUAGAACUUGGCUUGUAUAUUCCAAUGAUGGGCUUCCUCAAAAUGCCCUAGGUCUUCGUGAGCAAGCGAGUUGGAUGCACACCCACUUAGUUUCUUUUGUUGAGCUUUCAUAUAUUUAUAGCUCUAGUGCAUCCGUUGCAUGGCAAUCCCUACUCCUCUCAUUGACAUCAAUUGAUGGGCAUCUCCAUAGCCUAUUGAUUAGCCGCGUUGAUGUGAGACUUUCUACCUUUUUGUCUUCUCUCAUAACCCCCAUCAUUAUACUUUAUUCCACCCAUAGUGCUAUAUCCAUGGCGUACGCUCAUGUAUUGCGUAAGGGUUGAAAAGGCUGAAGCACGUUAAAAAGUAUGAACCAAUUGCUCGGCUCGUCAUCGGGGUUAUGCAUGAUGAGAACGUUUGUGUGACGAUAUUGAAACAUGGCCUAACUAUAUGAUUUUGUAGGGAUAAGCUUUCUUUGUCUAUGUUAUUUUGAUAAGACAUAAUUGCUUGGUUAGCAUGUUUGAAGUAUUAUUAUUUUUAUGUCAACAUUAAACUUUUAUCCUGAAUCUUUCAGAUCUAAAUAUUCAUGCCACAAUAAAAAGAAUUACUUUGAAAAUUAUGCUAAGAAGCAUUCCACAUAAAAAAUUCUGUUUUUAUCAUUUACCUACUCGAGGACGAGCAGGAAUUAAGCUUGGGGAUGCUUGAUACGUCUCCAACGUAUCUAUAAUUUUUGAUUGUUCCAUGCUAUUAUAUAUUCUAUUUUGGAUGUUUAAUGGGUUUAUGUAUACACUUUUAUAUUAUUUUUGGGACUAACCAAUUAACCGGAGGCCCACCCCAAAUUGCUGUUUUUUGCCUAUUUCAGUUUUUCGCAGAAAAAGGAUAUCAAUCGGAGUCCAAAUGGAAUGAAACCUUCGGGAGCGUGAUUUUUGGAACAAACGUGAUCCAGAGGACAUGGAGUGUACGUCAAGCAACCAACGAGGAGGCCACGAGGCAGGGGGGCGCGCCUACCCCCCUGGGCGCGCCCUCCACCAUUGUGGCUCCACCGACCUACUUCUUCCUCCUAUAUAUACCUACGUACCCCGAAAACAUCAGAGGAGGAGCCAAACCCUAUUUCCACCGCCGCAACCUUCUGUACCCAUGAGAUCCCAUCUUGGGGCCUUUUCCGGCGCUCCGCCGGAGGGGGCAUUGAUCACGGAGGGCUUCUACAUCAACACCAUAGCCUCUCCGAUGAUGUGUGAGUAGUUUACCUCAGACCUUCAGGUCCAUAGUUAUUAGCUAGAUGGCUUCUUCUCUCUCUUUGGAUCUCAAUACAAAGUUCUCCUCGAUUCUCUUGGAGAUCUAUUCGAUGUAAUGUUCUUUUGCGGUGUGUUUGUCGAGAUCCGAUGAAUUGUGGGUUUAUGAUCAAGAUUAUCUAUGAACAAUAUUUGAAUCUCCUCUGAAUUCUUUUAUGUAUGAUUGGUUAUCUUUGCAAGUCUCUUCGAAUUAUCAGUUUGGUUUGGCCUACUAGAUUGAUCUUUCUUGGAAUGGGAGAAGUGCUUAGCUUUGGGUUCAAUCUUGAGGUGCUCGAUCCCAGUGACGGUAGGGGAAACGACACGUAUUGUAUUGUUGCCAUCGAGGAUAAAAAUAUGGGGUUUAUAUCAUAUUGCUUGAUUUUAUCCUUCUACAUCAUGUCAUCUUGCUUAAAGCGUUACUCUGUUCUUAUGAACUUUAUACUCUAGAUGCAUGCUGGAUAGCGGUCGAUGUGUGGAGUAAUAGUAGUAGAUGCAGGCAGGAAUCGGUCUACUUGUCGCGGACGUGAUGCCUAUAUACAUGAUCAUGCCUAGAUAUUCUCAUAACUAUGCUCAAUUCUAUCAAUUGCUCGACAGUAAUUUGUUCACCCACCGUAAUACUUAUGCUCUUGAGAAGCCACUAGUGAAACCUAUGGCCCCCGGGUCUAUUUUCCAUCAUAUUAAUCUUCCAUCAACAAGCUAUUUCUAUCUUUGUUUAUUUUGCAAUCUUUACUUUUAAUCUUUAUCAUAAAAAUACCGAAAAUAUUAUCUUAUCAUCUCUAUCAGAUCUCACUUUUGCAAGUGGACGUGAAGGGAUUGACAACCCCUUUAUCGCGUUGGUUGCAAGGUUCUUAUUUGUUUGUGUAGGUGCAAGGGACUUGAGCGUGGCCUCCUACUGGAUUGAUACCUUGGUUCUCAAAAACUAAGGGAAACACUUACGCUACUUUGCUGCAUCACCCUUUCCUCUUCAAGGGAAAACCAACGCAGUGCUCAAGAGGUAGCACUUGUGAUAAGGAGCUUUAUUAUGCAGUUCGUCGCUUUUAUUUCUUACAUAUCACAAGUUCGUAUAAAUCUUAUUUUCUUCACACUAAUAGAUCAUAUAUAUUUAAAGAGAAAUUUUUAUUGCUUGCAUCGAUGACAACUUACUUGAAGGAUCUUACUCAAUCCGUAGGUAGGUAUGGUGGACUCUAAUGGCAAAACUGGGUUUAGGGAUGUUUGGAAGCACAAGUAGUAUCUCUACUUGGUGCAAAGAAUUUGGCUAGCAUGAGAGGGAAGGGCAAGCUCAACAUGUUGGAUGAUCCAUGACAAUAUAACUUCUAUUCGGAUAUAAGAAAACAUAACAUAUUAUGUUGUCUUACUUGUCCAACAUCAACCUUUUAGCAUGUCAUAUUUUACUGAGUGCUCACAAUCACAAAAGAUGUCCAAGAUAAUAUAUUUAUGCCUCUCUUUCUUUAUUACUUCCUAUUAAUUUCAACAAUGACCAAAACUAUGUUUGUCAAUUCCCAACAACUUUUAUUCAUUAUACUCUUUAUAUGUGAAGUCAUUACUCACCAUAAGAUCAAUAUAUGAUCUUUUUAUUCUUACUUUUAUUUAAUUCCCUCAAGAUCAUAGCAAGAAAGCAAAGCCCUUAACUCAAAACUACUCUAUAUAUAUAUUAUAUAUAUAUAUAUAUAUAUAUCAAGGACUCGAUUACAUAGAGGGAACAUAAAGCAAAAACUCAACGCUAGAUCAUACGAAAACUUUAUUCUACUAGAUCAAGAUAUAAUCAAAAGGAUCGAACUAAGAAAAACGAUAAAGAUAAAGAUGUGAUGGUGAUACGAUACCGGGGCACUCCCCCAAGCUUGGCAGUUGCCAAGGGGAGUGCCCAUACCCAUGUAUUUAGGUCUCUUUCUUCGGAGGUGAGGAUGAUGGAGUUGUUGCAUUCUUCUUCUCUAGCUUGCGUCUGAGGCUAAAAUUUUCCUCUCUCAGAUCCUCAUUCUCGAGCUCAAUUUUCAUUAUCUUUUUGCAUAAUGCCGCUUUGCUGUCCUGCGAAAAACAUGGUGGGAUAGGUUGGACUUUAGGGAGGCUUGAUUUCUUGAACUCCACAUGCAUAUCGCCAGGUUGGGGUAGUGGAUCGUCCCCUUCAUCGGAGCUUGUCUCCUCCUUCCCCUUUGGAUCAUAGUCUUCUUCUUCCUCCGUGGUCCAACCAUAAUGUUCCACAUCCCCAUAUGCUUUUGGGUUUGUGAUAUAAUCAGCCAUGUAGCUCUCUCCCUCCGAAUCUUGGGACGACAUCUUGCUCCAAAUCUGCUGCAGAAACAACUUAAAAUGAAAAUAGAGGAUUUUGUCAUGGUACUGUGGUCAAAACCUUCGGGAGAUUAUAUAAUGAGUUUUUACCGACCAAAAGAAGUAUCGUGCAAGAAAACGGAGUCCGAAGGGCACACGAGAUGGCCACAAGGACGGGGGGCGCGCCCUCCACCUUUGUGGUGGCCUCGUGUCUCCUUCGGACUACUUUUAAUUUUCCUAAUUUUUUAAAUAUUCCAAAACGGAGAAAAUUUAUCAUUGAAAACGUUUUGGAGUCGAUUUAGUUAUCGUACCACAUACCUAUUCCUCUUCGGAGUUUGAAACGUUUUGGAAAGUGUCCCUUAUGUACUCCUCCGGUGUUACGGUAUUAAUAAUAUUAGUCUCAACAUUUAUGGGCGUACCUGAGAUAUAAUGUUUGAUUCUUUGACCAUUUACCACCUUCGGAUCUGUGCCUUCGGCAUUGUUGAUUUUUAUGGCACCGGAACGAUAGACCUCCUCGAUAAUGUAGGGGCCUUCCCAUUUAGAGAGAAGCUUUCCUGCAAAAAAUCUUAAACGGGAGUUGUAUAGCAAAACAUGAUCGCCUACAUUAAACUCACACUUUUGUAUCCUUUUAUCGUGCCAUCUUUUAACUUUUUCUUUAAACAACUUGGCAUUCUCAUAGGCUUGGGUUCUCCAUUCAUCAAGUGAGCUAAUGUCAAAUAACCUCUUCUCACCAGCAAGUUUGACAUCAUAAUUGAGCUCUUUAAUAGCCCAAUAUGCCUUACAUUCUAGCUCAAGAGGUAAGUGACAUGCUUUCCCAUAAACCAUUUUAUACGAAGACAUACCCAUAGGAUUCUUAUAAGCAGUUCUAUAAGCCCAUAAUGCAUCAUCAAGUUUCUUAGACCAAUUCUUUCUAGAUCUAUUAACAGUCUUUUGCAAAAUUAAUUUGAUCUCCCUGUUGCUCAAUUCUACUUGACCACUAGACUGAGGAUCAUAAGGAGAUGCAAUUAUAUGGUUAACAUCAUACUUAGCAAGCAUUUUACAGAAAGCACCAUGAAUAAAAAGUGAACCACCAUCUAUUAUUAAAUAUCUAGGGACUCCAAACCUCGAAAAAAUAACUUCUUUAAGCAUCUUAAUAGAAGUGUUAUGAUCAGCACUACUAGUUGGAAUAGCUUCAACCCACUUAGUAACGUAAUCAACAGUAACUAAAAUAUGUGUAUACCCAUUAGAGGAAGGAAAAGGUCCCAUAUAAUCAAAACCCCAAACAUCAAAUGGUUCAAUAACAAGUGAAUAGUUCAUAGGCAUUUCCUGACGUCUACUAAUAUUACCAAUUCCCUGGCAUUCAUCACAAGACAAGACAAACUUACGGGCAUCCUUAAAGAGAGUGGGCCAAUAGAAACCGGAUUGCAAUACCUUAUGUGCAGUUUUGUCCCCUGCGUGGUGCCCUCCAUAAGCCUCGGAGUGGCCCUUGCAUAGGAUCUGUUCCUGUUCAUGCUCAGGUACACAACAUCUAAUAACACCAUCUACUCCUUUAUAAAGGUGUGGAUAUAUCUUCUUUUCAUCAAGAUAAGCAUAUUUCAGAGUAUCGGGUAAUUGUUUAAGCUCAAACAUGGGGUCACCCUUGGGUGGAGGAGGAUCCUCAGGGAUUUCAACAGGAAACUUGUGUUUCAAAAUAGGCCCUUGAUUAAAGAAUACUUCAUCUAUUUCCCUUCUUUCAUUCAUAAACAUAUCAUUUUCAUGGUCUAACAAAUAUUGUUCUAAAGGAUCAGCAGGAGGAACGGCAAUAGAAGCAAGACAAAUAAUUUCAUCCUUACUAGGCAAUUCUUUGUCAUGGGGUUGUCUACGAAAUUUAGAGAAAUUAAAAUCAUGAGACAUAUCCCCUAAACGAACAGUAACAAUAUCUUUCUCGCAAUCUAUCUUAGCAUUAACAGUAUUCAAGAAAGGACUACCAAAUAUAAUGGGACCAACAUUAUCUUGUGGGGAACCAAGAACAAGAAAAUCAGCAGGGUAUUUAAUUUUCCCACACAAGACUUCAACAUCUCUAACAAUCCUAAUUGGUGAAAUAGUACCUCUAUUGGCAAGCUCAAUAGUAACAUCAAUAUCUUCUAUCUCAGCAGGUGCAAUAUCAUUCAUAAUUUCCUCAUACAAGGUAUAAGGAAUUGCACUUACACUAGCACCCAUAUCACAUAAGCCAUGAUAACAAUAAUCUCCUAUUUUAACAUAAACAACAGGCAUGCCAACAACAGGUCUAUGUUUAUCUUUCAUAUCGGGUUUAGCAAUUCUAGCAGCUUCAUCACAGAAAUAAAUAAAUCAAUAUUAUCAACCAAGAGAUCUUUAACCAUAGCAAUACUAGGUUCAACUUUAGUUUGCUCAGAGGGUGUAGGUGUUCUAGUAUAACUCUUACGAACCAUAGUUGAAGCUCUAGCAUGAUCCUUUAUUCUAACAGGAAAAGGUGGUUUCUCAAUAUAAGCAGUAGGAACAAUAGGAUCAACAUUAUAAGUAAUAGUUUCUUCUUCAACUUAAAUAGGUUCUACUACUUUAACUUCAAUGGGAGGAUGAUAUUUAAACCACUUGUCCUUAGGGAGAUCAACAUGAGUAGCAAAAGAUUCACAGAAAGAAGCUACUAUCUCAGAGUCAAGUCCAUAUUUAGUGCUAAAAUCACGAAAAGCAUCGGUAUCCAUAAAAGAUUUAACACAAUAAAACUUAAGGUUUAUACCUGACUCUUUACCUUCGUCGAGUUCCCAAUCUUCAGAGUUGCAUUUAAUUCUUUCCAAUAAAUCCCAUUUGAAUUCAAUAUCCUUCUUCAUAUAGGAACCAGUACAGGAAGUAUCGAGCACGGAUCGAUCAUUAUGAGAAAGCCGAGCAUAAAAAUUUUGAAUAAUAAUUUCUCUUGAGAGCUCAUGAUUGGGGCAUGAAUAUAACAUUGACUUAAGCCUCCCCCAAGCUUGAGCGAUACUUUCUCUUUCACGAGGCCAAAAAUUAUAUAUAUAAUUCUGAUCACGAUGAACCAGAUGCAUAGGAUAAAACUUUUGAUGAAAUUCCAAUUUCAAUCGGUUGUAGUUCCAUGAUCCAAUAUCAUCCAAUAUCCUAUACCAUGUCAAUGCUUUUCCCUUCAAAGAUAAAGGGAAGACCUUCUUCUUGACAACAUCCUCGGGCAUACCUGUAAGCUUAAAUAAUCCACAAACUUCAUCCACAUAGAUUAGGUGCAUAUCAGGAUGUAAUGUUCCAUCUCCUGCAUAAGGAUUAGCUAGCAGUUUCUCUAUCAUACCCGAAGGAAUCUCAUAAUAAAUAUUUUCAGUAGGUGCAGUAGGCUGAGGAGCAACUAUUUGUUCUUCUGGUCGAGGUGAAGAUACCCCGAACAAGCCCCUCAAAGGAUUAUUUUCCAUAGUAACAAGUGACAGUAAAUUUCAGCACACUACAUAAAUGUUUCCUUACCAAAGGCGCUUCACUCCCCGGCAACGGCGCCAGAAAAGAGUCUUGAUGAGCCACAAGUAUAGGGGAUCUAUCAUAGUCCUUUUGAUAAGUAAUAGUGUCGAACCUAACGAGGAGCAGAAGGAAAUGAUAGGUGGUUUUCAGCAAGGUAUUCUCUGCAAGCACUGAAAUUAUCGGUAACAGAUAGUUUUGUGAUAAGAUAAAUCAUAACGGGUAACAAGUAAUAAAAGUAAAAAAGGUGCAGCAAAGUGGCCCAAUUCUUUUUGUAGCAAAGGACAAACCUGGACGAACUCUUAUAUAAUGCAAAGCGCUCCCGAUGACACAUGGGAAUUAUUGUCAAGCUAGAUUUCAUCAUGCUCAUAUGAUUCACGUUCGUUACUUUGAUAAUUCGAUAUGUCGGUGGACCGGUGCUUGGGUGCUGCCCUUCCUUGGACAAGACUUCCACUUAUGAUUAACCCCUCUCGCAAGCAUCCGCACCUAUGAAAGAACUAUUAAGGUAAACCUAACCAUAGCAUGAAACAUAUGGAUCCAAAUCAGCCCCUUACGAAGCAACGCAUAAACUAGGGUUUAAGAUUCUGUCACUCUAGCAACCCAUCAUCUACUUAUUACUUCCAAAUGCCUUCCCCUAGGCCCAAAUAAUGGUUAAGUGUCAUGUAGUCGACGUUCACAUAACACCACUAGAGGAAAGACAACAUACAUCUCAUCAAAAUAUCGAACGAAUACCAAAUUCACAUGAUUACUUAUAACAAGACUUCUCCCAUGUCCUCAGGAACAAACGUAACUACUCACAAAACAUAUUUAUGAUCAAGAUAAGAGGAGUAUUAAUUAUCUGGUUGGAUCUUUCAUUCGAGUUUUACCUGUGCAUUAGAUGAGUACUGAUUGUAUGCUUGUUUGUUUGCGAUAGAGUACCCGGAGUGUGCCGCUUGUUACUUCGACUCGUUAGCUUUUGUGGAUCAUCAGCAAGGCAAGUAACACUUUGAUCAUACCCCGUUCAUACCCAGUUUUAUUGCAUUAGAUCUGUUUUCCUCAAACACUUGCAUGAUUAGGAUCUAAUUAAACUGUGGGUAUUGGGAAGUAGUUGAGGUAGUGCCUAUUACCUGUUUUCUUAUCAAACCCUUGGGAGUUACUUCUAUGUUGCUUUUUAUUAUUGCCAUGCUAUGCUCGUAGACAUGGAUUUGGGUUUGAGUGAUAUUCAUGACAGAUGUGAGAUGUUUAUUAAUGGUUCAACUUAAGGUGGCAACUAAAACUCACAUCUGGGUGGAUUGAGGCACCUGGAGAACCCAGUGUUGCCUGUAUGUAUAAGGUCCGCCACCCAGGCUCAAAGGGAUCAUAAGAUUAUUCAUGCUAGAAACUUCCGUGUGCAGCCACAAGCUAUUAUGGGCUCUAGCAUAGCUGAGUAGGUUACAGGAUCUCUUGAAGAGGUGGACUAGCAGAUGUAGGGGAAAGUAGGUGUACCGGUCCAUCCAGAGUAAAGAGUGAUUGUUUCUGAAAGACUGUGUCUCGGUCAUCCGUUUCUCAAACAUCAUGUAGUGCGAGAAUCAAGCGGAGGCGAUCGAGUCUUGUGGGGAAAAGUGCACAAACCUCUGCAGAGUGUACAAACUGAUCAUGAUUAGCCGUGUCCCCGGUUAUGGACAACUUGAGUAUCUAGUACCUGGAUUAUCAUUUGAAUCUCAUCACCAUGUUACUUAUAAUUAAUUUUGUUGGGUUAAUGAUGACACUUAAUUGGGAUUGAGUUGGAGGUACCUUCUCAAUGUUUCACAACCACCAUGAUAGUUAAAUAAAAUUUAUUCCUUUGUAGUAGGAUAAAAUUGGUUUUCGCAAAACUGUAACCAUAGAGCUUUCCACCAGCCAUAAAUGCAUAUAGUAUAGCAUUAUUAUUGUUCAUUGUUCUCUAUGUGUUACUUUGCCAGCAUAUCCUAUGUGCUGACCCGUUUUCGGGCUGCAACGUUUCAUGUUGCAGAAUUUUCAGACGACGAGUAAGGUGCCUUAGGUCGUGGUCUUAUACUCAGUGAUGCCGCUGGAGUUGAUGGACUCACUUAUCUUCCAAGUCUUCCGCUGUUAUCGUUUUAGAUGGCCUUAAGCCAUGUUUAUCAUACUUAAUCUCUUCAGAGAUAUUCGAUGUAAUAAGUGUGUGAUUGCUACUCUGUUAUAAAUCCUCCAUUUGUACUGUGCGUGUCAGCAUUACUGAUCCAGGGAUGACACUGGUGCACAGCAGCACAGACCAUUUGAGGUUUGGUCGCUACAAAGUUGGUAUCAGAGCACACGCUGACUGUAGGACACGACCACUAAGCUUAAGCCCUAGAAAACUUCUCUCUUCUCAUUUCUGACCCCUCUCCACUUUCUACUCUUUUAGGAAUGGCGAAUGCAAGGAGCAAGUUUAUGCAACCGGAUGAAGACACGCCGUUUGGUCGACACUUGAAGGAAGUCACCAAGUACUUGAACAUAGGAAUACCAAGCAUCACCGGAACCUACAACGCCACAUUACCUGAAGAGGAGAGCUGGAAGAUUCAAGUUAUCAUUCCAGGAAGGACGUUUGUGCCAAUUACGGAACCCAUGAGAUUGGUUUUCGAAGCACCAACUUGGAGUUUAGGGAAGAGCAUGGCCGCACACAUCGCCAUGGGACGCAUUGGAGAAGUCUACCACCAGGAGCUUAAGGAUACAAUUUACCAAAUUUGUGGACGUCGAGACGCGCAAUGGGAGAUGAUCAAGACCAAGAAGGAUGGAUCAAUUGCAGCUUUCAUCCAGGAGCAGAACCAACAUAUUCGUCGCCAGGAGAACCAGAUGUGCACGGACAAGGAAGAACUGAAGAAGGCAUUAACGAAGAUCAAGGAACUCCAAGAAGAACUCAAGGCUACACGCGAAGAUUAUUUGGAGGAAAUCAACGCACUAGUAGGGAAGAUUGACGACCUGGAGAAGAAGAUUGGAGUAUUCGUGGGAAAUCCAGUGCCAAGAGCAGAAGUCGACGAAUGCACUUGUCCGGAUAACUACAUCAUCAUCAACGACACCGACUCGGAACCAAGAUAAGACGACUGGAUUGAUGAAGCUGGAGCAGACAUCAUGGAGUCUUCAACGGAUCAGAAUUUCUAGUAGACCACCAUAUCAGUAGUAGUUUUCCCCCAUUCAAUAGUAUAGUUCAAGCACUUUGUAACGCUAGUUAGAUCGAUUGUUUUGCCUUGUUUGAUUUGAUUGAGUGAUAUUGAUUGAAUUGUCUCAUAAGCAUAUGGGUAGUGUUUUCUCUCUAGACCUCAUUCUACUCUUAACUCUCAUCUUUUCUAAACCCAUCAGAUGCCUCCGAGACGCGACACCGGAUUUGUUUUCCCGCCAGAGAUCACCCAGUUGAUUCAGCAACAGAAUGCCCUGAUGCAAGUGUUAGUUCAGAACCAAGGCAACAACAACAACAACAACAACCCACUGCCACCACCACCUGUUGAUCACUUAGCCCGUUUCUUAAGGCUAAACCCGCCGGUGUUUUCCAGUAGCACCGAGCCGAUUGUAGCAGAUGAUUGGCUCCGCAAAGUUGGAAGGGAGUUGACCACUGCAGGAUGCACAGAUGCGGAAAGAGUGAAUUUUGCCGCACAUCAGCUUGAUGGACCCGCAGCAUCAUGGUGGGAGAAUUAUACAGCCACGCACCCUAUUGACACUGUCACAUGGGACCAGUUUCAGCAAGUUUUCCGUACAGCCCAUGUUUCGGCAGGAGCUAUGGCUAUGAAGAAGCGUGAGUUUUGUAACCUACGCCAAGGAGGACGCACCGUAGGCCAGUAUGUGGAGGAUUUCAGUAAGCUAGCACGUUAUGCACCAGAUGACGUUGCUACAGAUGCUGCCAAGCAGGAGAAAUUUUUGGAAGGGUUGAAUGAUGAACUGAGUAUGCAGUUGAUGGUAGCAACCUUCAACAACUACCAGGAGCUGGUAGAUAGAGCUCUCGUGAUUGAAGGGAAGCAACAGCAGAUUGAAAACCGUAAGAGGAAGUAUGGACAAGGGAAGUACAAUUCUGGAGCCCAGCAGAAGCCCCGUUUUACCCCGAAGCCGGGAGGACAGUUUCAGCAUACCCAUGGAGGAGGUAGUUCGCACAACCAUAAUGGCUCCAAGAAUGGUAAUGGGAAUGGAGGAGGAAACGGACAGAACCGCACCAACCCAUCAACCCCAACCAAGAGAGAUCUAAGUCACAUUACUUGUUUCAAGUGCCAGAAGACGGGACAUUAUGCUACUGAUUGUCCCGAAGCCCAAAAUGGAAAUGGCAAUGGAAGCUCUGGGAAGAAGCCGAACCCGUUCAACAAAGGACAUGUGAACCACGUGAGCGUGGAGGAGGUUGAAGCUUAGCCUGAUGCAGUAAUAGGUAAGUUUUUGGUAAGUCAUUUACUACAACCGUUCUUUUCGAUACUGGUGCAUCGCAUUCAUACAUAUCAAGGGGAUUCGUAAAUAAGUUUAAGAUGUCCACUCAAGUUCUCAAAACCCCUAUGUUAGUAACCUCGCCAGGAGCAGAGUAUAUGGCCACCCAAGGAUGUUUUCAGAUACCGUUGGCCAUUGGUAGGCAUGUUUUCCCCUCAGACCUCAUUGUUUUGGAAUCGCAAGGUUUGGAUGUGAUUUUGGGAAUGGAUUGGCUAUCGUUGUAUGGAGGAAACAUCGAUUGUGCCAGCAAGACGAUUUUGCUUACCACCCCGGAAGGAAAAAGGAUCAAGUAUGUAUCUCGGCAUAUGCCGAAGAGGACUCAAGUAAAUUCCUUAUCAGGAGUUGUACAGGAGGAAGUACCAGUGGUGAAGGAUUAUCCGGAUGUAUUUCCAGAAGAGUUGCCAGGCAUGCCACCAGAUAGAGACAUUGAGUUUUUGAUUGAACUUUUGCCAGGCACAGGGCCAAUAUCUAAGAGACCGUACAGGAUGCCCGCAAAGGAUUUGGAGGAAAUUAAGAAGCAGAUCAAGGAGUUACUGGAUAAAGGCUAUAUUCGCCAAAGUUCGUCACCUUGGGGAUCACCAGUACUUCUAGUGGAGAAGAAAGAUGGAUCACUAAGGAUGGUUGUUGAUUACCGAGGGUUGAAUGAAGUGACCAUCAAAAACAAGUACCCACUGCCGAUGAUCAAUGAUUUGUUUGACCGCUUACAAGGAGCUAAAGUAUUUUCCAAGAUCGAUCUACGAUCAGGAUACCACCAGUUAAAGAUUCGAGAGCAAGAUAUACCUAAGACGGCAUUUACCAUCAGAUAUGGAUUGUAUGAGUAUACCGUUAUGUCAUUUGGACUGACUAACGCACCUGCCUAUUUCAUGAACCUGAUGAACAAAGUGUUUAUGGAGUUUUUGGUUAAGUUCGUAGUGGUGUUCAUUGAUGAUAUUUUAAUCUUUUCCAAGGAUGAGGAAGAGCAUGAGGAGCAUUUACGAUUGGUACUUGGGAAGCUCAGAGAACAUCAGUUAUACGCCAAGUUCAGCAAAUGUGAGUUUUGGUUGAAGGAAGUUGGAUUCCUUGGACAUGUUAUUUCUGCAGAAGGAAUAGCAGUAGACCCUGCCAAGGUUGACACAGUGACAAGUUGGGAAUCACCCACGACAGUUGGGGAAAUCCGGAGUUUUCUUGGACUUGCAGGAUACUACCGGAGAUUUAUCGAGAAUUUCUCAAAGAUUGCUAAGCCCAUGACUGAGCUAUUAAAGAAGGACACCAAAUUCAACUGGACUGAGGAAUGUGAAGCUAGUUUCCAAGAGUUGAAGAAACGAUUGGUUACAUCACCAGUGUUGAUUCUGCCAGAUCAACGCAAGGACUAUGAAGUCUAUUGCGACGCUUCUCGUCAAGGACUUGGAGCAGUGCUUAUGCAGGAAGGAAGAGUUGUGUCGUAUGCUUCACGACAACUUAAACCCCAUGAGAAGAAUUAUGCUACGCAUGACUUGGAAUUAGCAGCUGUGGUGCAUGCAUUGAAGACAUGGAGACAUUUUCUCAUCGGAAACCAUUGUGAAGUGUACACGGAUCACAAGAGUUUGAAGUACAUUUUCACGCAGAAGGAGUUAAAUCUCAGACAGAGGAGAUGGUUGGAGCUCAUUAAAGAUUAUGAUAUGAGAUUGCAUUAUCACCCUGGGAAGGCUAACGUAGUAGCAGACGCGUUGAGCCGCAAGAGUCAUGUCAACACCCUCAUGACAGGAGAUUUACCUCAGGAGUUAGCCGAGGACCUUCGCGAGCUAUGUUUGGAGAUAGUCCCAAGAGGCUAUUUAGCGACAUUGGAGAUUCAGUCUACCUUGAUGGAAAAGAUCAGAGAAGCUCAGAAGACAGACAAGGAGAUUGAAGAGAUAAAAGAGAAGAUGAGCAAAGGAAAAGCCAAGGGAUUUCGUGAGGAUGAGCACGAUACCUUAUGGUUCGAGGACCGUGUAUAUGUGCCAAAUGAUCCGGAGAUCAGGAAGUUGAUUUUGCAAGAAGCCCAUGAUUCACCAUACUCGAUUCACCUAGGAAAUACCAAGAUGUAUUUGGAUUUGAAAAAUACUUUCUGGUGGACCGGAAUGAAGAAGGAUAUUGCGGAGUAUGUAGCAGUUUUGAUGUAUGUCAGAGAGUGAAGGCAGAGCAUCAGAAGCCAGCAGGAUUGCUACAGCCAUUGCCGAUACCCGAAUGGAAGUGGGACACAAUAGGCAUGGAUUUUAUCACGGGAUUACCCAGGACUCGUUCAGGCUAUGACUCAAUAUGGGUUGUAAUCGACCGUUUGAGGAAAGUUUCUCAUUUUGAUUCCAGUGAAGACCACUUACACCAGUGCUAAGUUGGCAAAGAUAUACAUGACCAGGAUCGUAUGUUUGCAUGGAGUCCCGAGGACCAUUGUAUCAGACAGAGGAACCCAAUUUACCUUGAAGUUUUGGAAGCAGUUACAUGAAACGUUGGGAACCAGGCUGGAAUUCAGUACAGCUUUUCACCCGCAGACAGAUGGACAGACCGAGAGAGUCAACCAGAUUUUGGGGGACAUGUUGAGAGCAUGUGCACUAGAUUAUGGAUCUAGUUGGGACGACAAUUUGCCAUAUGCGGAGUUCUCGUAUAACAACAAUUAUCAAACCAGUUUGAAGAUGGCCCCUUUCGAAGCUUUGUACGGAAGGAGGUGUAGAACACCGUUGUUAUGGGACGAAGUUGGAGAUCGUCAGUUGUUUGGACCAGAUUUGAUUAAGGAGUCUGAACAGAAAGUAAGGUUGAUUCGCGAUAGGCUCAAGGUAGCCCAGUCCAGGCAGAAGAGUUAUGCCGAUUCUAAACGAAAGGAGACAGUUCACGAAGUCGGAGACAGAGUGUAUCUUCGAGUAUCACCCCUUCGAGGAGUGAAGCGCUUCGGAGUUAAGGGAAAGUUAGCGCCCCGUUUUAUCGGACCAUACAGAGUGUUGGAACGUAUGGGAGAAGUUGCCUACAAGUUGGAAUUGCCCGAAGGAUUGUCUGGAGUACAUAAUGUAUUUCACGUUUCGCAAUUGAAGAAGUGCCACGCAGAGAUGGCUGAGAUACCACUGAGAGAUACUGUGCCACUGGAAGCGAUUCAGUUGGAAAAUGAUUUGACGUAUGAGGAGAAACCAGUUAAGAUUCUCGAGUAUGCCAGCCGAGUUACCCGCAGCAAGGUUAUCAAGUUUUGCAAAGUUCAGUGGAGUCACCACACAGAAGAUGAAGCCACCUGGGAGCGAGAGGAAGAUCUACGGAAAGACCACUCCCACCUGUUUUCUAGCCAACCCGAAUCUCGAGGGCGAGAUUCAUCUUAAGGGGGGUAGGUUUGUAACAUCCCAAAUUUUCAAUUUGGAAUGUUAUACAUAGACCAUCAUUGCAUAUCAUGUUUUAUUGCAUUUUGACAAAUCCUCGAUAAAUCCUAAGCAACUCAAGGACCCUCGGAGAGAGUUGGGGAUUUUCUCGAAUUUUCAUAUUUGAUUUUCGUCAAAUAAUAAGACGAGGAUUUUUGGUUUUAAUUAUUUUAUCUCCGGAAAAAUAUUUCAUUUAAAUAAACGAGAGGAGAAAACAUGACUUCUCCAAAACAAUUGAAAUACUGGAGGAAAAAUGUUAAAAUCAUUAUUUGGAAUUUAUUUGGAAUUUAUUUGCAAUUUUUAUUGCAUUAAAAAUAUUGCAUGUUUUCAAAAUAUUUAUUUUGAUUUAAAACAAUGUUCACCCUAUUCUAGAUUUUCUAACUAGACGGGGAAAAUUUAUUUUAUAUUUUUCUGAUUUUUAUUUAUUUUUCUACGUAUUAUUCUCCGCGGAACUUAUUUAAAAAAAACUGCGCCCGCGCGCCGACUGGGCCAAAGGCCCAGCCAACGGCCCAGCCCUGCCGCCCCGUCGUCUCCGUCCCGGAGACGGGAUCGCCGCCCGAGUCCCGGCCGGACACGCCGCCCCGGCCGCCCCCUUCCCCAAGCUUCAGACCCCCCCNNNNNNNNNNNNNNNNNNNNNNNNNNNNNNNNNNNNNNNNNNNNNNNNNNNNNNNNNNNNNNNNNNNNNNNNNNNNNNNNNNNNNNNNNNNNNNNNNNNNNNNNNNNNNNNNNNNNNNNNNNNNNNNNNNNNNNNNNNNNNNNNNNNNNNNNCUCAAAUCUCUGAUCAAAUCUUUGAUUCUGUUUAACUUUUCGCUCAUUUAUCGGAAUCAGGCGAUUCAAGCGCCUAGAGUUUCGUCUCGAAAUUCUCUUUCCAUUUAACCUACUCAAACAAGUUUUUGCUACAGUAAAAUUUGACCUAGAUCCAGAUUAGCAAACGAAGUUUCUCUCGUUCGCCGUUUGACUUUCGUUGCUUUUUUCGAGUUGAUUCUUUUUGCAAACCGGAGUUCUUAAGUUGAACUUUCUGGUUGGAUCUUUCUUUCGAGUUUUACCUGUGCAUUAGAUGAGUACUGAUUGUAUGCUUGUUUGUUUGCGGUAGAGUACCCGGAGUGUGCCGCUUGUUACUUCGACUCGUUAGCUUUUGCGGAUCAUCAGCAAGGCAAGUAACACUUUGAUCAUACCCCGUUCAUACCCAGUUUUAUUGCAUUAGAUCUGUUUUCCUCAAACACUUGCAUGAUUAGGAUCUAAUUAAACUGUGGGUAUUGGGAAGUAGUUGAGGUAGUGCCUAUUACCUGUUUUCUUAUCAAACCCUUGGGAGUUACUUCUACGUUGCUUUUUAUUAUUGCCAUGCUAUGCUCGUAGACGUGGAUUUGGGUUUGAGUGAUAUUCAUGACAGAUGUGAGAUGUUUAUUAAUGGUUCAACUUAAGGUGGCAACUAAAACUCACAUCUGGGUGGAUUGAGGCACCUGGAGAACCCAGUGUUGCCUGUAUGUAUAAGGUCCGCCACCCAGGCUCAAAGGGAUCAUAAGAUUAUUCAUGCUAGAAACUUCCGUGUGCAGCCACAAGCUAUUAUGGGCUCUAGCAUAGCUGAGUAGGUUACAGGAUCUCUUGAAGAGGUGGACUAGCAGAUGUAGGGGAAAGUAGGUGUACCGAUCCAUCCAGAGUAAAGAGUGAUUGUUUCUGAAAGACUGUGUCUCGGUCAUCCGUUUCUCAAACAUCAUGUAGUGCGAGAAUCAAGCGGAGGCGAUCGAGUCUUGUGGGGAAAAGUGCACAAACCUCUGCAGAGUGUACAAACUGAUCAUGAUUAGCCGUGUCCCCGGUUAUGGACAACUUGAGUAUCUAGUACCUGGAUUAUCAUUUGAAUCUCAUCACCAUGUUACUUAUAAUUAAUUUUGUUGGGUUAAUGAUGACACUUAAUUGGGAUUGAGUUGGAGGUACCUUCUCAAUGUUUCACAACCACCAUGAUAGUUAAAUAAAAUUUAUUCCUUUGUAGUAGGAUAAAAUUGGUUUUCGCAAAACUGUAACCAUAGAGCUUUCCACCAGCCAUAAAUGCAUAUAGUAUAGCAUUAUUAUUGUUCAUUGUUCUCUAUGUGUUACUUUGCCAGCAUAUCCUAUGUGCUGACCCGUUUUCGGGCUGCAACGUUUCAUGUUGCAGAAUUUUCAGACAACGAGUAAGGUGCCUUAGGUCGUAGUCUUAUACUCAGUGAUGCCGCUGGAGUUGAUGGACUCACUUAUCUUCCAAGUCUUCCGCUGUUAUCGUUUUAGAUGGCCUUAAGCCAUGUUUAUCAUACUUAAUCUCUUCAGAGAUAUUCGAUGUAAUAAGUGUGUGAUUGCUACUCUGUUAUAAAUCCUCCAUUUGUACUGUGCGUGUCAGCAUUACUGAUCCAGGGAUGACACUGGUGCACAGCAGCACAGACCAUUUGAGGUCUGGUCGCUACAACCGGAUAAACCAACUAGCAUCAACUACAAGGAGUAAUCAACACUACUAGCAACCCACAGGUACCAAUCUGAGGUUUUCGGACCAAGAUCGAAUACAAGAGAUGAACUAGGGUUUGAGAGGAGAUGGUGCUGGUGAAGAUUUUGAGAGAGAUUGACCCCCUCUCGAUGAGAGGAUCGUUGGUGAUGACGAUGGCUUCGAUUUCCCCCUCCUGGAGGGAUGUUUCACCGGCAGAACAGCUCCGUCGGAGCCCUAGAUUCGUUCUGCCCAGGUUCCGCUCGAGAUAGCGGUGCUACGUCUCGAAAGCUUCCUUCUGAUUUUUUUCCAGGUCAAAACACACCAUAUAGCCAAAGAUGGGCACCGGAGGCCUGCCAGGGGGCCCACAAGGUCGGGGGGCGCGCCCAGGGGGGUAGGGCGCGCCCUCCACCCUUGUGGCUAGCUGGUGGCCCCCCUCUGGUACUUUCUUUGCCCAAUAUUUUUUAUAUAUUCCAAAAACAUGCUCCGUGAAGUUUCAGGACUUUUGGAGUUGUGCAUAAUAGGUCUCUAAUAUUUGCUCCUUUUCCAGUCCAGAAUUCCAGCUACCGGCAUUCUCCCUCUUCAUGUAAACCUUAUAAAAUAAGAGAGAACAGGCAUUAUUAUUGUGAUAUAAUGUGUAGUAACAACCCAUGAUGCAUUAAAUAUCAAUAUAAAAGCAUGAUGCAUAAUGGACGUAUCAACCGAUGAUCGAAUCUCGGGAGAGUAACAUACCGAUGACAAAGGGAAUAACAUAUGUUGUCAUAAUGGUUCGACCGAUAAAGAUCUUCGUAGAAAAUGUAGGAGACAAUAUGAGCAUCCAGGUUCCGCUAUUGGUUAUUGACCGGAGAGUUGUCUCAGUCAUGUCUACAUAGUUCUCAAACCCGUAGGGUCCGCACGCUUAACGUUCGAUGAUGAUUUUGUAUUAUAUCAGUUAUGUGAUUUGGUGACCGAAUGUUGUUGGGAGUCCCGGAUGAGAUCACAGACAUGAAGAGGAGUCUCGAAAUGGUUGAGGGGUAAAUAUUGAUAUAUAGGACGAUAGUAUUCGAACACCGGAAGUGUUCUGGGAGUACCGGGUACAUAUCGGGUCACUGGAAGGGGUUCCGGGCACCCCCCGGCAAAGAUAUGGGCCUAAUGGGCCAAGAGGGGAAACACAACAACUAGUAGGGGCUGCUGCGCCCCCAAUAUGGUCCGCACCUUAGGAGGAAGGAAAGGGGAAAGAGAGAAGGAAGGGGAGAGAUUCGGCCUCCCCCUUCCUCCCCUCCUCCCUCCUCUUUCCUUCCCCCUCUAGUACUUAUGGAAGGGGGGAGGCCAAAUUGGGGGAGACGCCCAAGUAGGAUUCCUCCUACUUGGGCGCCCCUUGCUCCUCCCCUCCCUCUCCCCCCUAUAUAUAUGUGGGGGGGCACCGCUAGAAGGCACAACGUUGAUUCCUAGCCGUGUGCGGCGCCCCCCUCCACAGUUUACGCCUCCGAUCAUAUUCUCGCAGUGCUUAGGCGAAGCCCUACGCGGAUCACUUCACCAUCACCGUCACCACGCCGUCGUGUUGACAGAAAUCAUCUACUUCCUCGACACUUUGCUGGAUCAAGAGUCCGAGGGACGUCAUCGAGUUGAACGUGUGCAGAACUCGGAGGUGUCGUAUGUUCGGUGCUUGAUCGGUCGGAAUGAGAAGAAGUUCGACUACAUCAACCGCGUUGUCAAAUGCUUCCGCUUUCGGUCUAUGAGGGUACGUGGACACACUCUCCCCCUCUCGUUGAUAUGCAUCUCCUAGAUAGAUCUUGCGUGAGCGUAGGAAAUUUUUGAAAUUGCAUGCUAUGUUUCCCAACGGUGGUAUCAGAGUCAGGUCUAUGCGUAGAUGAUAUGCACGAGUAGAACACAAAGAGUUGUGGGCGGUGAUAGUCAUACUGCUUACCACAAACGUCUUAUUUUGAUUUGGCGGUAUUGUUGGAUGAAGCGGCCCGGACCAACCUUACAUGACCAGUUCAUGAGACCGGUUCCGCCGAUAGACAUGCAACUAGUUUUGCAAAAAGGUGGCUGGCGGGUGUCUAUUUCUCCAACUUUAGUUGAAUCAAAUUUGACUAUGGUUGGUCCUUGUUGAAGGUUAAAACAGCAAACUAGAUGAAUCACCAUUGUGGUUUUGAUGCGUAGGUAAGAAUGGUUCUUACUAGAAGCCCAUAGGAGCCACGUAAAACUUGCAACAACAAAGUAGAGGACGUCUAACUUGUUUUUGCAGAGCAUGUUGUGAUGUGAUAUAUGUUGUUGUAUGAGAUGAUCAUGUUUUCUAAAAGUUAUCGGCAACUGGCAAGAGCCUUAUGGUUGUUGCUUUAUUGUACGAAAUGCAAAUGCCAUGUAAUUGCUUUACUUUAUCACUAUGCGUUAGUGAUAGUUGUAGAAGCAAUAGUUGGCAAGACAACCACGAUGCUACGAUGGAGAUCAAGGUGUCAAGCCGGUGACGAUGGAGAUCAUGACGGUGCUUUGGAGAUGGAGAUCAAAGGCACACGAUGAUGAUGGCCAUAUCAUGUCACAUAUUUUGAUUGCAUGUGAUGUUUAUCUUUUAUGCAUCUUAUUUUGCUUAGUACGACGGUAGCAUUAUAAGAUGAUCACUUACUAAAAUUUCAAGGUAUAAGCGUUCUCUCUGAGUAUGCACCGUUGCGACAGUUCGUCGUGCUGAGACACCACGUGAUGAUCGGGUGUGAUAAGAUCUACGUUCACAUACAACGGGUGCAAGACAGUUUUGCACAUGCGGAAUACUCGGGUUAAACUUGACGAGCCUAGCAUGUACAGACAUGGCCUUGGAAUACUGGAGACCAAAAGGUCGAACGAGAAUCAUAUAGUAGAUAUGAUCAACAUAGAGAUGUUCACCAUUGAUGACUACUCCAUCUCACGUGAUGAUCGGACAUGGUUUAGUUGAUUUGGAUCACGUAUCAUUUAGAUGACUUGAUAGAUGUCUAAGUGGGAGUUCUUAAGUAAUAUGAUCAAUUGAACUUAAUUUAUCAUGAACUUAUUCCUGAUAGUAUUUGCAAAUUAUGUUGUAGAUCAAUAGGUCGUGUUGUAGCUCCCCUAUUUUUUAAAUAUGUUCCUAGAGAAAACUAAGUUGAAAGAUGAUAGUAGCAAUGAUGCGGACUGGGUCCGUGAUCUGAGGAUUAUCCUCAUUGCUGCAUAGAAGAAUUAUGUCCUUGAUGCACCGCUAGGUGACAGACCUGUUGCAGGAGCUGAUGUGGAUGUUAUGAACGUUUGCCAAGCUCGGUAAGUUUAUUUUGCCUCGCUAAUGUAGACGUGGAUUGGGGAAUGUCCAUGGUGAGACUUGAGUGGCAAAGUAGUAAUCAGGACCAAGACUUUUAAAUGAACUACCUGCGCGGAAAUUGGUUUGAAUGGUGGUGAAGUACAGUGGUAGCAUGCAUGGGAAAUCCAUGGUGGUGCACCACUAGUGGUCCAUCUGUUCAGGCUCAAAGGGAUCAAACGUGUUUUCAUGUCUAGAAACUUACAUGUGCAACCACAAGCCACUAUGGGCUCUGGCUUAGUUGAGUAGAUAGUGUGACCUUUCCGGGAUAGGCUAGAUGAUGUAGAAUAUGUAGGUGUACCGGCUUAUCGUGGGUUAAGGGGGAAUACUUUCGAAAGACUAUGUCUCGAUCUUCCGAUCAUGGAGGUGAUCGAGUCUUGUGGGAAAAAGUGCACAACCUCUGCGAAGUGUCAGCCUAAUCGAUUAGUUGUGUCCCUGCUUACAGACAUCUUGAGCAUCUAGUAGUGGAAAUGCCGGGAGAUCUCAUCACCCUUAAUUUAAACAGUUGGGUUUUAAAUAAACUUUGGGAAUGUAGACAAAGUAAACUCAACUAAUAUGAAUAAACCCCAUAGUUUACCCUUAAUGGAAACAAUACAAAUACAUGUAUUGUCCCUUUAUGUCACUGGGAUAGAGCACCGUAUGAUUGAACCCAUCAUAAAGCACCUCUCUCACUAAAGAUAAAUCAAUCUAGUUGGACAAACCAAACGAAUAGAUUGGAGACAAACACAAAGCUAUAACAAUCAUGAAUAAUAAAGUUCAAAAAAAUCACAAUUACUUCUUAUGCAUAUUCAUAUCAUAAACCCACAAUUCAUCAUAUCCCAACAAUCACACCGCAAAAGAAGAUUACAUCGGAUAAAACUCCAAGAACGCCAAGAAGAACAUGGUACUGAAGAUGAAAGCGAGAGAAGAAGCCAUCUAGCUACUAGAUAUGGACCCAUAGGUCCGUGGUAAACUACUUGCGCAUCAUCGGAAGGCAGCAAGGAUGAUGUAGAAGCCCUCCGUGAUUGAUUCCCCCUCCGGCGGAGUACCGGAAAAGGCCUCCAUAUGGGAUAGCGGAAGAACAGAGGCUUGCAGCAGCAGAAAAAGUGUUUCGGGUGGCUCUCUGUUGGUUUGGGAAUAUUUGGGAAUUUAUAGGUCUGGAAUUAGGUCAAACGGAGUUGGUGUGCGGCCCACAAACUCAGGGGCCCCCUACGAGCUUGUGGCUCUCCCGUAUCUCGUCUGGUCUCCUCCCGAAACUUAUAGGGCCCCUUCUCGUCUAGAAAAUAUUAAUCCAAUGAUUUUUUUCGUUCAAACUUCGUUUGAUAUUGAUUUUCUGAAAAGCCAAAAACAGGAAGAAAAAAUUGGACUGGCACUGGACACUGAGUUAAGAGGUUAGUCCCAAAAAAUGAUAUAAAAUUGCAUAUAAUUGCAUAUAAAACAUCCAAGAUUAAUACUAUAAUAGCAUGGAACAAUGAAAAAAUAUAGAUACGUUUGAGACGUAUCACUUGUGUUUUGAAGAUUGUUGAUAUAAAGAGUAAAGGACUAAUGUGUUUGCUAGUGCACACAGAGUAACAGGUCCCUGAAUUCAUGAGGAGUUUGAUAUAAACUCAGGAGGAUAUGCCCUGCGUAGCAGCAAGCAUUAUUCAUGAAGUUUAUGCUGUGAAGAGUGACCCCUAAAAUUGAUGACGUAAAGCAAUUGGUUCGGUGGCAUCCGAAGGUAGUGACUGCAGCCGAAAGAAGACGAAGUCAAAGUGAAGAGUAGGACCACCGUAAUAUUAAGAAGGGUAUAGUGUUCGAAGCUUUGAUUCUCUGAUGCUAAACUCAAUCUUAUGAAAGUUGUGAGAGAAAUCUCUUUAUGUUUCGAGCAAAUACUUGCCAGCAAGAGACUGUGAUGUUCUUCAUUGCGAGAGAUUUGUUUCUGACCGAAGAGUUAGCAUUAUUUGUUCCUCAAGUAAUGUUACCGUUGCUUUCAAGUCCAACCAUUGCAAACGUGUAGGUCGGCUAUUGACUGGACCACGUGUCCAAAAUGGUCAUUUCCCCCGAGGGAAGGUUGCGGCUGUAAAUACCCACCCCGCACCGGCUUUGUUCGGUGGCUGCUCCAUUUGAUUAUGGGAAUAUUGUUGAGAAACCCCCUCUCUAGAGUGAUUUGAAGCUAAAAUCCACCAAGAGACAACCCUAGAGCCGAAGAAUUAGAUAGUGGUUUAGCAUCACUAGAAUCUAAGUCCAGUACGCUCCACCUAUUACUCUUGAGAGCUGCAAACUCUCCAGACUGUUAGGUGUCAAUUUUUUCAGAAACCAAUAGUGAUUGUGGUACUCGAAGAAGAAGUCUCUAAAGGUUCACAUAUCACCUCAAGUAUCUACCAUGAGUAAUCGGCAUUGGUUGAUGAAUCAACUGUCGAGGAGAACAGGGCGAAGAGAGUUUAUCUUAUGUGUUAAAUCAUAACCCCUCCAACCCGACGUAGUCCUUGUGCGGAAGGACGAACUAGUCUACCAAAUCAUCUGUCGCCAUCGAGCAUCACAGAUUAUUCCUUCACACCUUUUAUUCGAAUUGCUUUUCAUGACUGAAUACAACCAUGUGAUUAUCAUCGAUGACUGCAUCUAUUUUUAGUUCGUUAGUUUACUUUAACUCACUGCUUUCUAUUAUCUUUCAUUCCACUGCUGGGUUUUGAGAGUUUUGAAGUUUCCUAAAGAAAUUUCAAAAAUCCCAUUCACUCCCCCUCAGGGCAGAUCCUACACGGUCCGCCUUGUCACAAGCCCCUCAUGUUCUUGAAGAAAUGCCCAACUUCCUCAUUGAUGGCAAUUGCAGUCUGCCCCCCCCCCCCAAAGACCCGCUACAAGACAUGGUGCACCCAGGCUGCCACCAAACCCUUUCAAAUCAGCACUUCCCACAAGAAGGCCAUGUUCACUCGGUUGCAAGCCUUCUCAAAAUCUAUUUUAAGAAGAAUUGCUCUUUCUUUCGUGUGCUUUAGAUAAUGAACAAUCCCCUGGAGCACUACGGUCGCUCUAGAAUGUAUCUGUCUUUGGUAAACAAAGAAUGGCAUCUAUAAAUAACACAGUGAGUAAUCGGGGCCAUACACGAAACACAAGCUUUGGCACACAUUUUGAAAGGAAUGUUUAUUAGAGCAAUUGGCCAAAACCGUCGGAUAUUAUCUGCCCCCUUGCACUUUCGAGAUAAGCGAUAGGAUGCCAAAAAUUGAGGUGCAAGAUAUGUACGUACCUAACAUAAAUCCAAGAAAAAUAUUGAACAUAAGGCCUUCCAGCGCUGGUCAGAACCUAUGGAAUAUAGUUACUAGCCAUCUAUCAAGGCCUAUAGCUAGCCGUGUCUACUUUCAUGGAGCAGAGCGCAUCAUCAAUUUAUUUGGGCAGACAAUCCUGAUUAAAACCAAGAAGCAACCAACCAGAAUGACCCAUCGUCGCUACACAACAUCAAUUGAAGCGUUCGAGGGGAUCAAUAGAGGAAAAAUCAUGGAGUCUAUACUAAGGAUUAAUCGUCUCCUGAAGAGCAAUAAUGUCUAUCGGUUCUAUACACAUAUAUUCUUUCAAUUGCAUCUUCCUACCAACGUGGCCAAACCCACGUUGUUCCAAAAAAGGAACUGCAUUUAUAGAAUACAAUUUAUAGUCUAAACUCCCCGAGAGCCCACAACCUUUGCCACGCGCCUCACGGCGCAAGCACCGCGAGGAGGGGAAAGUGAAGCAUAUGUGGGUUAUGCAUGUGUUUCCUCUAUAACUGAAUGUCAAAAUGUGACUUGAUGGUGUUCCAAAAUGAUGUUGCAAAAGGGCACAACAAAAAACACUGUUCAAAUGUUUCUUCACGACCACAGAAACAAAACAAAGGACUAGCUAGGAUGUUGCAUCUUUGUAACUUAUGUCUUGUAGCUACACAAUCAUGAGAAAAGCGCCACAUAAUAAUUUUCAUCUUACUUGGGGCUCUAAUAGUCCAUAGUACCAAAACCUUGCUUUUUUCUAAAAAAGAGCAAAAGAGGAAGCUCUAGCAAAAUUAUACGUUGACUUGACAGAGCAAACGCCCAAUGUAUUGUGAGGCCAAGAAACAAAAGUCCUCCAACUCCAGCAGGAAAAGGAACAUGUAAUAUUUUCUCUACCACCUCCGGUGCAAAAAAGCCAUUGACUGUGUCCUCAUCCCAAUGUUUAGAAUCUGAAUUGAUGAGCGCAUCAAAAGUUUGUUGUCCGGGCAUAGGCAACAUCGGUGAUACGCAUCCCAAAAAUACAUCAGGAACCUGACUCACUUGCUCAACAUGUUUGGCCUAGUAUUUCUUCUAUUGUUCUACUGUUCACUAGAAAACGGUUCACCGAUUUUUUUUUAAAAGCACAAAUGUAGAAAAGCGUUCGUGAGUUUAAAAUAAGUUUAGAAAUUUUAAAUAUGUUCUCAAAUCCGUAAAAUAAUGCGAAUUUUAAAAAAAUUGACAUGUUUUGCGAGAAGCUAGAGAAUAUGAAAAAGCUCGUGACUUUGAAAAAAGUUCAUCGAUCUGAAAUCACAAAUUUGUAAAAAAAAUCAUGAAUUCAAAAACAGUUCAUGAGUUUGAAAAAUAUUCAUGAAUUUGAGCAAAAAGGAGAAAAAACAUGAAAAACAAAAAUGAAAAAGCCGAACAAUAUUGAGCAAAACCUGGCCCAAAAAACAGAAAUGAAUAUAUAUAUAGGAUCUAAAGCUUCCGAGUCGGAAGUUGUCGUCUCCUAUUUGGUGCGCAGGUACGCCGCCCCAUUUAGUUCUACUUGUACCUUACCAGUUUUCUCUUUUUUCUCUUUGUUUUUUGUUCUGGAGUUUUCUAUAUUUUUCAUUAUUUUUACUUCUAUUUUUCAAUUAUUUUCUCUUUUUUGUGUUUUUAUUUUUCUUUGUUUUCUUGUUUCUUUCUCUUAUUCGCAAACAUAUUUCAAAUUUGUGAAGAUUUUUUGAAAUCAUGAACAUUUUUUCAAAUUAAUGAACCUUGGUUUUAAGAUCAUGAAUAUUUUUUCAACUUCACGUACUUUUUUGCAAAUUCACGAACAUUUUUUUCUAAAAUCGUGAACAUUUUUGGGAAUUCAUUAACUUUUUUACAAAUUUGCAGUCAUUUUUUGAAAUAGUGAACAUUCUUUUAAACUCGUGAAUAAUUUUUUAAAUUUGGAAACAUAUUUUUUUUGUUCGAUGAGCAUUUUCAAAUGCAUUAACAUUUUUUGAAUUCAUGUACAAUUUCUGAAUUGAUGAAUAUAUUUUUAGUCCUUGAAUUUGGGAAGACGAUUUGAAAUUCAUCAACACUUUUUCGUUUUUGACAUCUAUGAAAACUUUCAAGUACAAUAACUAAAUUCUGUUUUUAUUCAAAUUGAUGAAGAAUUUUUAAAUAUGUGAACAUUUUUUAAAAUCAUGUACAUUUAUUGAAUAUGCGUACAUUUGUAAAAUCCACGAAUGUUUAUGGCUUCAAAAACAAUAUUUCCAAAUUAUCAUCUAAAAGCAAUUCCGAACUUCUUUGAAAUCCAAGAUUAUUUUUUGCGGUGUGCUACGCAUCGGCCGGCGGAUCUUUUAAAAAGAUCCGCCGCCUCACGGGCAGUCUGAUUGAGUGACACGAGCGGUCGGACCCUUUUCUCUAAUUUCUUGAAACAAUACUUUUGUUGCAAAAAUUCUUUUUCUCUAAUUUUCUGCAACAAGAAUUUUGUUGCGAAACCUUUUUUUUCUAAUUUCCUUCAGCAAGUCCUUUGUUGCAAAACCUAUUCUUCUCUAAUUUUCCGCAACAAAAACCUUGUUGCAAAAAUCGCAAAUACAUAUUCCGUCUACGUUUUUAAAACAAAACCCUUGUUGCAAAAAUUGCAGCAACACUCCGGCCACAUCGCGCACUAACACAAUCGUUUUGGUUGCCAUCGUUCCGCAACAAUGUUAUUGUUGCAUAAACUUGGAAUGGACGUGGACGUACAACGCGAUGAUGUGGCUGCUGCUGGCGCUUGUGGUGCUAGGUGGUGAGAUUGAUAGUGCUCCACGCCGGCUUGGCGGAUCUCGCCGGAUCCGUCGAUCUUGUUGCGGAAACUUAAACGCCGCCUUCCCUAACCUUUGUCCCCUGGCGGGCUAGAGAUGUCCGCCACCGGGCCGAGAAGGGCGAGCGCAAAUGAAUGACACGGCGGUUGUGGCUGCUGUAGGCGUGACAUGAUGACGACAAGGCUGGCAGCGCUCCGUGCCGCCUGUCGGAUCUCGCCGGAUCCGCCGAUCCGGUCGCGGGGAGGCGUUUGGCAGUGGAGAUCUGCCGUGGAGGCGCUUGAGUAACGAUGACCUGCAGGCGACGCUCCACUAACGGGUAGAGGUAGGGGCGGCUCCGGCGGCGCUGACAAGGAGAAGAGGCACACAGUGGGGCCGGGCGACCUCGCCGAUGGUCGCCGGAGAACAACCAUAGCGGGGCGCAUCUCCCUGGCUCGGCGGUGGUUGUGGAUGGUGAAGGAAAUAUGCCCUAGAGGCAAUAAUAAAGUUGUUAUUUUAUAUUUCCUUAUAUCAUGAUAAAUGUUUAUUAUUCAUGCUAGAAUUGUAUUAACCGGAAACUUGAUACAUGUGUGGAUACAUAGACAAUACACAGUGUCCCUAGUAUGCCUCUACUAGACUAGCUCGUUAAUCAAAGAUGGUUAAGUUUCCUAACCAUAGACAUGUGAUGUCAUUUGAUGAACGAGAUCAGAUCAUUAGGAGAAUGAUGUGAUGGACAAGACCCGUCCGUUAGCAUCGCAUAUUGAUUGUUCAGUUUUAUUGCUACUGCUUUCUUCAUGUCAUAUACAUAUUCCUUUGACUAUAAGAUUAUGCAACUCCCGAAUACCGGAGGAUGACGUUGUGUGCUAUCAAACGUCACAACGUAACUGGGUGAUUAUAAAGAUGCUCUACAGGUAUCUCUGAAGGUUUUUGUUGAGUUGGCAUAAAUCAAGAUUAGAAUUUGUCACUCCGAGUAUGGGAGAGGUAUCUCUGGGCCCUCUCGAUAAUCCACAUCAUGAUAAGCCUUGCAAGCAAUGUGACUAAUGAGUUAGUUGCAGGAUUAUGCAUUACGGAACGAGUAAAGUGACUUUCCGGUAACGAGAUUGAACUAGGUAUGAAGAUACCGACGAUCGAAUCUCGGGCAAGUAACAUACUGAUGACAAAGGGAAUUACGUAUGUUGUCAUUACGGUUUGACCGAUAAAGAUCUUCGUAGAAUAUGUAGGAACCAAUAUGAGCAUCCAGGUUCCUCUGUUGGUUAUUGACCGGAGAUGUGUCUCGGUCAUGUCUACAUAGUUCUCGAACUCGUAGGGUCCGCACACCUAACGUUCGAUGACGAUUUGUAUUAUGAGUUAUGUGAUUUGGUGACCGAAUGUUGUUCGGAGUCCCGUAUGAGAUCACGGACAUGACGAGGAGUCUCAAAAUGGUCGAGAGGUAAAGAUUGAUAUAUUGGAUGAUAGUAUUCGGACACCGGAAGUGUUUCAGAAUGUAUCGGGUACAUAUCAGAGUAUCGGGGGGUUACCGAAACCCCUGGGGGAAGAUAUGGGCCAUAUGGGCCAUACGAGGGAGGCAGGCCAGCCCACAAGGGGUGGCGCCCCCCCCAAGGGAGGAGUCCAAAUUGGACAAGGGGAGGGGGGGCGCCUCCCUUUCCUUCUCCUCCUCUCUCUCCUUCCCCCUUUCCCCAUCCGAUAAAAGGAAGGGGGGGCGAAUCCUACUAGGAGCCCAAAUGGGACUCCUCCCACUUGGGGCGCACCUAGGGCCGACCUCCUCCCCUCUCCCUCCUUUACAUACGGGGGUGGGGGCGCCUCUAACACACAUCAAUUGUUCCAAGCCGUGUGCGGUGCCCCCCUCCAUAGUUUACGCCUCCGGUCAUAUUCACGUAGUGCUUAGGCGAAGCCCUGCACGGAUCACUUCACCAUCGCCGUCACCACGCCGUCGUGCUGACGGAACUCUCCCUUGACACUUUGCUGGAUCAAGAGUUCGAGGGACGUGUGCAGAACUCGAAGGUGUCGUAUGUUCGGAGCUUGGUCGGCUGGAUCGAGAAGACGUUCGACUACAUCAACCGCAUUAAGCUAACGCUUCCGCUUUCGGUCUAUGAGGGUACGUGGACAUACUCUCCCCCUCUCAUUGCUAUGCAUCUCCUAGAUAGAUCUUGCGUGAGCGUAGGAUUUUUUUUUUGAAAUUGCAUGCUACGUUCCCCAACAGUGGCAUCUGAGCCAGGUCUAUGCGUAGAUGAUAUGCACGAGUAGAACACAAAGAGUAGUGGGCGAUCAUAGUCAUACUACUUACCAAAUGUCUUAUUUUGAAUCGGCGGUAUUGUUGGAUGAAGCGUCCUGGACCAACCUUACAUGACCACGUUGAUGAGACCGGUUCCACUGACAGACAUGCAACUUUUUUGCAUAAAGUUGGUUGGCGUGUGUCUAUAUCUCCAAUUUUAGUAGAAUCGAAUUCGACUACGACCGGUCCUUGUUGAAGGUUAAAACAACAAACUUGACAAAAUAUCGUUGUGGUUUUGAUGCGUAGGUAAGAACGGUUCUUACUAGAAGCCCGUAGGAGCCACGUAAAACUUGCAACAACAAAGUAGAGGACGUCUAACUUGUUUUUGCAGGGCUUGUUGUGAUGUGAUAUGGUCAAGACAUGAUGUGAUAUAUGUUAUUGUAUGACAUGCUCAUGUUUUGUAAAAGUCACUGGCAACCGGUAGGAGCCUUAUGGUUGUCUCUUUAUUGUAUGAAAUGCAAAUGCCAUGUAAUUGCUUUACUUUAUCACUAUGUGUAGCGAUAGUUGUAGAAGCAAUAGUUGGCAAGACGACCACGACGCUCAAUGGAGAUCAAGGUGUCAAGUCAGUGACAUUGGAGAUCAUGACGGUGCUUUGGAGAUGGAGAUCAAAGGCACAAGAUGAUGAUGGCCAUAUCAUGUCACAUAUUUUGAUAGCAUGUGAUGUUUAUCUUUUAUGCAUCUUAUUUUGCUUAGUACGGCGGUAGGAUUAUAAGAUGAUCCCUCACUAAAAAUUUCAAGGUAUAAGUGUUCUCCCUGAGUAUGCACCGUUGCAACAGUUCGUCGUGCCGAGACACCACGUGAUGAUCGGGUGUGAUAAGCUCUACGCUCACAUACAACGGGUGCAAGACGGUUUUGCACAUGCGGAAUACUCGGGUUAAACUUGACGAGCCUAGCAUGUACAGACAUGGCCUCGGGACACUGGAGACCGAAAGGUCAAACGUGAAUCAUAUAAUAGAUAUGAUCAACAUAGAGAUGUUCACCAUUGAAAACUACUCCAUCUCACGUGAUGAUCGGACAUGGUUUAGUUGAUAUGGAUCACGUGAUCAUUUAGAUGACUUGAGGGAUGUCUAUCUAAGUGGGAGUUCUUAAGUAAUAUGAUUAAUUGAACUUAAUUUAUCAUGAACUUAGUCCUGAUAGUUUUUGCAUAUCUAUGUUGUAGAUCAAUGGCCCGUGCUACCGUUCCCUUGAAUUUUAAUGUGUUCCUAGAGAAAGCUAAGUUGAAAGAUGUUGGUAGCAACUACACAGACUAGGUCUGUAACUUGAGGAUUAUCCUCAUUGCUGCAUCGAAGAAUUAUGUCCUUGAUGCACCGCUAGGUGACAAGCCCCCUCCCGCUAAUGUAGAUGCUUUGAACGUCUGGCAGACGUGGUCUGAUGACUACUCUAUAGUUCAGUGUGCCAUGCUUUACGGCUUAGAAUCGGGACUUCAAAGACGUUUUGAACGUCAUGGACCAUAUGAGAUGUUCCAGGAGUUGAAGUUAAUAUUUCAAGCAAAUGCCCGGGUUGAGAGAUAUGAAGUCUCCAACAAGUUCUAUAGCUGCAAGAUGGAGGAGAACAGUUCUGUCUGUGAACACAUACUCAGAAUGUCUGGGUACCAUAACCACUUGACUCAACUGGGAGUUAAUCUUCCAGAUGAUAGUGUUAUUGACAGAGUUCUUCAAUCGCUGCCACCAAGCUACAAAGGCUUCGUGAUGAACUAUAAUGUGCAAGGGAUGGAUAAGACAAUUCUGUUGGGAAUCGUAGCAUAAUUUAAAAUUUUCCUACGCUCACCAAGAUGCAUCUAUGGAGUCUACUAGCAACGAGGGGAAAGGAGUGGAUCUACAUACCCUUGUAGAUCGCGAGCGGAAGCGUUCCAAUGAACGUGGAUGACGGAGUCGUACUCGCCGUGAUCCAAAUCACCGAUGACCGAGUGCCGAACGGACGGCACCUCCGCGUUCAACACACGUACGGUGCAGCGACGUCUCCUCCUUUCUUGAUCCAGCAAGGGGGGAGGAGAGGUUGAUGGAGAUCCAACAGCACGACGGCGUGGUGGUGGAUGUAGCGGCUCUCCGGCAAGGCUUCGCCGAGCUUCUGCGCGCGAGAGAGAGGUGUUGCAGGGGAGGAGGGAGGCGCCAAAGGCUGUGUUCUACUGCCCUCCCUCCCCCCCCCCUUUAUAUAGGCCCCCAAAGGGGGGGUGCGCAGCCCUUGGAGAUGGGAUCUCCAAGGGGGGGGCGGCGGCCAAGGGGGAAGGGGUUGCCUUGCCCCCCAAGGCAAGGGGAAACUCCCCCCCCCUAGGGUUCCCAACCCUAGGCGCAUGGGGGGGAGGCCCAAAGUGGCGCCCCAGCCCAUUAGGGGCUGGUUCCCCUCCACUUUCAGCCCACGGGGCCCUCCGGGACAGGUGGCCCCACCCGGUGGACCCCCGGGACCCUUCCGGUGGUCCCGGUACAAUACCGAUAACCCCCGAAACUUUCCCGGUGGCCAAAACUGGACUUCCUAUAUAUAAUUCUUCACCUCCGGACCAUUCCGGAACCUCUCGUGACGUCCGGGAUCUCAUCCGGGACUCCGAACAACUUUCGGGUUUCCGCAUACAUAUAUCUCUACAACCCUAGCGUCACCGGACCUUAAGUGUGUAGACCCUACGGGUUCGGGAGACAUGCAGACAUGACCGAGACGCCUCUCCGGUCAAUAACCAACGGCGGGAUCUGGAUACCCAUGUUGGCUCCCACAUGUUCCACGAUGAUAUCAUCGGGUGAACCACGGUGUCGAGGAUUCAAUCAAUCCGUAUGCAAUUCCCUUUGUCAAUCGGUAUGUUACUUGCCCGAGAUUCGAUCGUCGGUAUCCCAAUACCUUGUUCAAUCUCGUUACCGGCAAGUCUCUUUACUCGUACCGCAAUGCAUGAUCCCGUGACUAACGCCUUAGUCACAUUGAGCUCAUUAUGAUGAUGCAUUACCGAGUGGGCCCAGAGAUACCUCUCCGUUUACACGGAGUGACAAAUCCCAGUCUCGAUCCGUGCCAACCCAACAGACACUUUCGGAGAUACCCGUAAUGCACCUUUAUAGUCACCCAGUUACGUUGUGACGUUUGGCACACCCAAAGCACUCCUACGGUAUCCGGGAGUUGCACGAUCUCAUGGUCUAAGGAAAAUAUACUUGACAUUGGAAAAGCUCUAGCAAACGAAACUACACGAUCUUUUAUGCUAUGCUUAAGUUGGGUCUUGUCCAUCACAUCAUUCUCCUAAUGAUGUGAUCCCGUUAUCAAUGACAUCCUAUGUCCAUAGUCAGGAAACCAUGACUAUCUGUUGAUCAACGAGCUAGUCAACUAGAGGCUUACUAGGGACAGGUUGUGGUCUAUGUAUUCACACAUGUAUUACGAUUUCCGGACAAUACAAUUAUAGCAUGAAUAAAAGACUAUUAUCAUGAACACAGAAAUAUAAUAAUAACCAUUUAUUAUUGCCUCUAGGGCAUAUUUCCAACAGUCUCCCACUUGCACUAGAGUCAAUAAUCUAGUUACAUUGUGAUGAAUCGAACACCCAUUGCGUCCUGGUGUUGAUCAUGUUUUGCCCUAGGGAGAGGUUUAGUCAACGGAUCUGCUACAUUCAGGUCCGUGUGCACUUUACAAAUAUCUAUGUCUCCAUUUUGAACACUUUCACGAAUGGAGUUGAAGUGACGCUUGAUAUGUCUGGUCUUCCUGUGAAACCUGGGCUCCUUCGCAAGGGCAAUAGCUCCAGUGUUGUCACAAAAGAGAGUCAUUGGGCCCGACGCAUUGGGAAUCACCCCUAGGUCGGUAAUGAACUCCUUCAUCCAGACUGCUUCCUGUGCUGCCUCCGAGGCUGCCAUGUACUCCGCUUCACAUGUAGAUCCCGCCACGACGCUUUGCUUGCAACUGCACCAGCUUACUGCUCCUCUAUUCAAUAUAUACACGUAUCCGGUCUGUGACUUCGAGUCAUCCAGAUCUGUGUCGAAGCUAGCGUCGACGUAACCCUUUACGACGAGCUCUUCGUCACCUCCAUAAACGAGAAACAUAUCCUUAGUCCUUUUCAGGUACUUCAGGAUAUUCUUGACCGCUGUCCAGUGUUCCUUGCCGGGAUUACUUUGGUACCUUCCUACCAAACUUAUGGCAAGGUUUACAUCAGGUCUGGUACACAGCAUGGCAUACAUAAUAGACCCUAUGGCCGAGGCAUAGGGGAUGACACUCAUCUCUUCUAUAUCUUCUGCCGUGGUCGGGCAUUGAGCCGUGCUCAAUUGCACACCUUGCAAUACAGGCAAGAACCCCUUCUUGGACUGAUCCAUACUGAACUUCUUCAAUAUCUUGUCAAGGUAUGUACUCUGUGAAAGACCAAUGAGGCGUCUUGAUCUAUCUCUAUAGAUCUUGAUGCCUAAUAUAUAAGCAGCUUCUCCAAGGUCCUUCAUUGAAAAACACUUAUUCAAAUAGGCCUUUAUACUUUCCAAGAAUUCUAUAUCAUUUCCCAUCAAUAAUAUGUCAUCCACAUAUAAUAUGAGAAAUGCUACAGAGCUCCCACUCACUUUCUUGUAAACACAGGCUUCUCCAUAAGUCUGUGUAAACCCAAACGCUUUGAUCAUCUCAUCAAAGCGAAUGUUCCAACUCCGAGAUGCUUGCACCAGCCCAUAGAUUGAGCGCUGGAGCUUGCAUACUUUGUUAGCAUUCUUAGGAUCGACAAAACCUUCCGGCUGCAUCAUAUAGAACUCUUCCUUAAGGAAGCCGUUAAGGAAUGCCGUUUUGACGUCCAUCUGCCAUAUCUCAUAAUCAUAGUAUGCGGCAAUUGCUAACAUGAUUCGGACGGACUUCAGCUUCGCUACGGGUGAGAAAGUCUCAUCGUAGUCAACCCCUUGAACUUGUCGAUAACCCUUAGCGACAAGUCGAGCUUUGUAGAUGGUCACAUUACCAUCUGCGUCCGUCUUCUUCUUAAAGAUCCAUUUGUUUUCUAUGGCUCGCCGCUCAUCGGGCAAGUCAGUCAAAGUCCAUACUUUGUUUUCAUACAUGGAUUCUAUCUCGGAUUUCAUGGCUUCUAGCCAUUUGUCGGAAUCCGGGCCCGCCAUCGCUUCUUCAUAGUUCGAAGGUUCACCGUUGUCUAACAACAUGAUUUCCAGGACAGGGUUGCCGUACCACUCUGGUGCGGAACGUGUCCUUGUGGACCUACGAAGUUCAGUGGCAACUUGAUCCGAAGCUUCAUGAUCAUCAUCAUUAACUUCCUCCCCCGUCGGUGUAGGCACCACAGGAAUAUUUUCCCGCGCUGCGCUAUUUUCCGACUCGGAAGGGGUGACUAUCACCUCAUCAAGUUCCACUUUCCUCCCACUCAAUUCUUUCGAGAGAAACUCCUUCUCUAGAAAGGACCCGUUCUUGGCAACGAAGAUCUUGCCUUCGGAUCUGAGGUAGAAGGUGUACCCAAUAGUUUCCUUAGGGUAUCCUAUGAAGACGCAUUUUUCCGAUUUGGGUUCGAGCUUUUCAGGUUGAAGUUUCUUGACAUAAGCAUCGCAUCCCCAAACUUUUAGAAACGACAGCUUAGGUUUCUUCCCAAACCAUAAUUCAUACGGUGUCGUCUCAACGGAUUUAGACGGUGCCCUAUUUAAAGUGAAUGCGGCAGUCUCUAAAGCAUAACCCCAAAAUGAGAGCGGUAAAUCGGUAAGAGACAUCAUAGAUCGCACCAUAUCCAAUAGAGUGCGAUUACGACGUUCGGACACACCAUUUCUCUGAGGUGUUCCAGGCGGCGUGAGUUGUGAAACUAUUCCACAUUUCGGUCCUCUGUGUUCCGAGGCCAUGUCUGUACAUGCUAGGCUCGUCAAGUCAACCUAAGUGUAUUGCGUGUGUUUCGAGGCCAUGUCUGUACAUGCUAGGCUCGUCAACACCCGUUGUAUUCGAACGUAAGAAUCUAUCACACCCGAUCAUCACGUGGUGCUUCGAAACGACGAACCUUCGCAACGGUGCACAGUUAGGGUGAACACUUUCUUGAAAUUAUUAUAAGGGAUCAUCCUAUUUGCUACCGUCGUUCUAAGCAAAUAAGAUGCAAAAACAUGAUAAACAUCACAUGCAAUCAAAUAGUGACAUGAUAUGGCCAAUAUCAUCAUGCUCCUUUGAUCUCCAUCUUCGGGGCACCAUGAUCAUCUUCGUCACCGGCAUGACACCAUGAUCUCCAUCAUCAUGAUCUCCAUCAUUGUGUCUUCAUGAAGUUGUCACGCCAACGAUUACUUCUACUUCUAUGGCUAACCGUUUAGCAACAAAGUAAGGUAAAUUACAUGGCGUUAUUCAAUGACACGCAGGUCAUGCAAAAUAAUAAAGACAACUCCUAUGGCUCCUGCCGGUUGUCAUACUCAUCGACAUGCAAGUCGUGAUUCCUAUUACAAGAAUAUGAUCAAUCUCAUACAUCACAUAUAUCAUUCAUCACAUCUUCUGGCCAUAUCAUAUCACAUAUAUCACUUGCUGCAAAAACAAGUUAGACGUCCUCUAAUUGUUGUUGCAAGUUUUUACGUGGUUUGUAGGUUUCUAGCAAGAACGAUUUCUUACCUACGUAUGACCACAACGUGAUUUGCCAAUUUCUAUUUACCCUUCAUAAGGACCCUUUUCAUCGAAUCCGUUCCGACUAAAGUAGGAGAGACAGACACCCGCUAGCCACCUUAUGCAACUAGUGCAUGUCAGUCGGUGGAACCUGUCUCACGUAAGCGUACGUGUAAGGUCGGUCCGGGCCGCUUCAUCCUACAAUGCCGCCGAAACAUGAAACGACUAGUAGCGGCAAGAAGAAUUGGCAACAUCAACGCCCACAACUUCUUUGUGUUCUACUCGUGCAUAGUAACUACGCAUAGGCCUGGCUCAUGAUGCCACUGUUGGGAAUCGUAGCAUAAUUUAAAAUUUUCCUACGCUCACCAAGAUGCAUCUAUGGAGUCUACUAGCAACGAGGGGAAAGGAGUGGAUCUACAUACCCUUGUAGAUCGCGAGCGGAAGCGUUCCAAUGAACGUGGAUGACGGAGUCGUACUCGCCGUGAUCCAAAUCACCGAUGACCGAGUGCCGAACGGACGGCACCUCCGCGUUCAACACACGUACGGUGCAGCGACGUCUCCUCCUUUCUUGAUCCAGCAAGGGGGGAGGAGAGGUUGAUGGAGAUCCAACAGCACGACGGCGUGGUGGUGGAUGUAGCGGCUCUCCGGCAAGGCUUCGCCGAGCUUCUGCGCGCGAGAGAGAGGUGUUGCAGGGGAGGAGGGAGGCGCCAAAGGCUGUGUUCUACUGCCCUCCCUCCCCCCCUUUAUAUAGGCCCCCAAAGGGGGGGUGCGCAGCCCUUGGAGAUGGGAUCUCCAAGGGGGGGGCGGCGGCCAAGGGGGAAGGGGUUGCCUUGCCCCCCAAGGCAAGGGGAAACUCCCCCCCCUAGGGUUCCCAACCCUAGGCGCAUGGGGGGGAGGCCCAAAGUGGCGCCCCAGCCCAUUAGGGGCUGGUUCCCCUCCAGUUUCAGCCCACGGGGCCCUCCGGGACAGGUGGCCCCACCCGGUGGACCCCCGGGACCCUUCCGGUGGUCCCGGUACAAUACCGAUAACCCCCGAAACUUUCCCGGUGGCCAAAACUGGACUUCCUAUAUAUAAUUCUUCACCUCCGGACCAUUCCGGAACCUCUCGUGACGUCCGGGAUCUCAUCCGGGACUCCGAACAACUUUCGGGUUUCCGCAUACAUAUAUCUCUACAACCCUAGCGUCACCGGACCUUAAGUGUGUAGACCCUACGGGUUCGGGAGACAUGCAGACAUGACCGAGACGCCUCUCCGGUCAAUAACCAACAGCGGGAUCUGGAUACCCAUGUUGGCUCCCACAUGUUCCACGAUGAUAUCAUCGGGUGAACCACGGUGUCGAGGAUUCAAUCAAUCCGUAUGCAAUUCCCUUUGUCAAUCGGUAUGUUACUUGCCCGAGAUUCGAUCGUCGGUAUCCCAAUACCUAGUUCAAUCUCGUUACCGGCAAGUCUCUUUACUCGUACCGCAAUGCAUGAUCCCGUGACUAACGCCUUAGUAACAUUGAGCUCAUUAUGAUGAUGCAUUACCGAGUGGGCCCAGAGAUACCUCUCCGUCACACGGAGUGAUAAAUCCCAGUCUCGAUCCGUGCCAACCCAACAGACACUUUCGGAGAUACCCGUAAUGCACCUUUAUAGUCACCCAGUUACGUUGUGACGUUUGGCACACCCAAAGCACUCCUACGGUAUCCGGGAGUUGCACGAUCUCAUGGUCUAAGGAAAAGAUACUUGACAUUGGAAAAGCUCUAGCAAACGAAACUACACGAUCUUUUAUGCUAUGCUUAAGUUGGGUCUUGUCCAUCACAUCAUUCUCCUAAUGAUGUGAUCCCGUUAUCAAUGACAUCCUAUGUCCAUAGUCAGGAAACCAUGACUAUCUGUUGAUCAACGAGCUAGUCAACUAGAGGCUUACUAGGGACAGGUUGUGGUCUAUGUAUUCACACAUGUAUUACGAUUUCCGGACAAUACAAUUAUAGCAUGAAUAAAAGACUAUUAUCAUGAACACAGAAAUAUAAUAAUAACCAUUUAUUAUUGCCUCUAGGGCAUAUUUCCAACAAAUUCUUGAGCUCUUCGCUAUGCUCAAAGCUGCGGAGGUAGAAAUCAAGCAAGAGCACCCAAGUGUUGAUGGUUAACAAGACCACUAGUUUCAAGAAAAAGGGCAAGGGAAAGAAGGGGAACUUCAAGAAGAAUGGCAAGCAAGUUGUCACUCCCGGGAAGAAGCCCAAGUCUGGACCCAAGCCUAAAACUAAGUGCUUCUACUGCAAAGGGACUGGUCACUGGAAGCGGAACUGCCCCAAGUGUUUGGCGGAUAAGAAGGAUGGCAAAGUGAACAAAGGUAUAUUUGAUAUACAUGUUAUUGAUGUGUACCUUACUAAUGCUCGUAGUAGCGCCUGGGUAUUUGAUACUGGUUAUGUUGCUCAUAUUUGCAACUCGAAACAGGGGCUACGGAUUAAACGAAGAUUGGCUAAGGACGAGGUGACGAUGCGCGUCGGUAAUGGUUCCAAGGUCGAUGUGAUCGCCGUCGGAACGCUACCUCUACAUCUACCUUCGGGAUUAGUUUUAGACCUGAAUAAUUGUUAUUUGGUGCCAGCGUUGAGCAUGAACAUUAUAUCUGGAUCUUGUUUGAUGCAAGAUGAUUAUUCAUUUAAAUCAGAGAAUAAUGGUUGUUCUAUUUAUAUGAGUAAUAUCUUUUAUGGUCAUGCACCCUUUAAGAGUGGUCUAUUUUAUUGAAUCUCGAUCGUGGUGAUACAAAUAUUCAUAAUAUUGAUGCCAAAAGAUGCAAAGUUGAUAAUGAUAGUGCAACAUAUUUGUGGCACUGCCGUUUAGGUCAUAUUGGUGUAAAGCGCAUGAAGAAACUCCAUGCGGAUGGACUUUUGGAAUCACUUGUUUAUGAAACAUUUGAUGCUUGCGAACCAUGCCUCAUGGGCAAGAUGGCUAAGACUCUGUUCUCCGGAACAAUGGAGCGAGCCACUGACUUAUUGGAAAUAAUACAUACCGAUGUAUGCGGUCCGAUGAGUGUUGAGGCUCGCGGCGGGUAUCGUUAUUUUCCAACCUUCACAUAUAAUUUGAGCAGAUAUGGGUAUAUCUAUUUAAUGAAACACAAGCCUGGAACAUUUGAAAAGUUCAAAGAAUUUCAGAGUGAAGUGGAAAAUCAUCGUAACGAGAAAAUAAAGUUUCUACAAUCUGAUUGCGGAGGCGAAUAUUUGAGUUACGAGUUUGUCCUUCAUUUAUAACAAUGUGGAAUAGUUUCACAACUCACGCCACCUGGAACACCACAGCGUAAUAGUGUGUCCGAACGUCGUAACCGUACUUUAUUAGAUAUGGUGCGAUCUAUGAUGUCUAUUACCGAUUUACCACUAUCGUUUUGGGGUUAUGCAUUAGAGACAACUGCAUUCACGUUAAAUAGGGCACCAUCUAAACCGUUGAGAUGACACCGUAUGAUUGUGGUUUGGCAAUAAACCUAAGCUGUCGUUUCUUAAAGUUUGGGGUUGCGAUGCUUAUGUGAAAAAGCUUCAGUCUGAUAAGCUCGAACCCAAAUCGGAGAAGUGCGCCUUCAUAGGAUACCCAAAAGAAACUGUUGGGUACACCUUCUAUCACAGAUCCGAAGGCAAGAUAUUUGUUGCUAAGAAUGGGUCAUUUCUAGAGAAGGAGUUUCUCUUGAAAGAAGUGAGUGGGAGAAAAGUAGAACUUGAUGAGGUAAUUGUACCUUCUCUCGAAUUGGAAAGUAGCUCAUCACAGAAAACCGUACCCAUGAUGCCUACACGAAUUAGUGAGGAAGCUAAUGAUGAUGAUCAUGAAACUUCAGAUCAAGUUACUACCGAACCUCGUAGGUCAACCAGAGUGCGUUCCGCACCAGAGUGGUACGGUAAUCCUGUUCUGGAAGUCAUGUUACUAGACCACGACGAACCUAUGAACUAUGAGGAAGCGAUGAUGAGCCCAGAUUCCGCGAAAUGGCUUGAGGACAUGAAAUCUAAGAUGGGAUCCCUGUAUGAGAACAAAGUAUGGACUUUGGUUGACUUUCCCGAUGAUCGGCAAGCCAUAGAGAAUAAAUGGAUCUUCAAGAAGAAGACUGACGCUGAUGGUAAUGUUACCAUCUACAAAGCUCGACUUGUUGUGAAAGGUUUUCGACAAGUUCAAGGAGUUGACUACGAUGAGACCUUCUCACCCGUAGCGAUGCUUAAGUCUGUCCGAAUCAUGUUAGCAAUUGCCGCAUUUUAUGAUUAUGAAAUCUGGUAAAUGGACGUCAAAACUGCAUUCCUUAAUGGUUUUCUUAAAGAAGAGUUGUAUAUGAUGCAACCAGAAGGUUUUAUUGAUCCUAAAGGUGCUAACAAAGUGUGUAAGCUCCAGCGAUCCAUUUAUGGACUAGUGCAAGCAUCUCGGAGUUGGAAUAUACGCUUUGAUGAAGUGAUCAAAGCAUAUUGUUUUAUUUAGACUAUUGGAGAAGCCUGUAUUUACAAGAAAGUGAGUGGGAGCUCUAUAGCAUUUCUAAUAUUAUAUGUGGAUGACAUAUUGAUUGGAAAUGAUAUAGAAUUUCAGCAUAAAAGGAUACUUGAAUAAGAGUUUUUCAAUGAAAGACCUCGGUGAAGCUGCUUAUAUAUUGGGCAUAAAGAUCUAUAGAGAUAGAUCAAGACGCUUAAUUGGACUUUCACAAAGCACAUACCUUGAUAAAGUUUUGAAGAAAUUCAAAAUGGAUCAGUCAAAGAAAGGGUUCUUGCCUGUGUUACAAGGUGUGAAGUUGAGUCAAACUCAAUGCCCGACCACUGCAGAAGAUAGAGAGAAAAUUAAAGUCAUUCCCUAUGCCUCAGCCAUAGGUUCUAUCAUGUAUGCAAUGUUGUGUACCAGACCUGACGUGUGCCUUGCUAUAGGUUUAUCAGGGAGGUACCAAAGUAAUCCAGGAGUGGAUCACUGGACAACGGUCAAGAACAUCCUGAAGUACCUGAAAAGUACUAAGGAUAUGUUUCUCGUUUAUGGAGGUGACAAAGAGCUCGUCGUAAAUGGUUACAUCAAUGCUAGCUUUGACACUGAUCCGGAUGACUCUAAGUCACAAACCGGAUAGGUAUUUAUAUUGGAUGGUGGAGCUGUCAGUUGGUGCAGUUCCAAGCAAAGCAUCGUGGCGGGAUCUACGUGUGAAGCGGAGUAUACAGCUGCUUCAGAAGCAGCAAAUGAAGGAGUCUGGAUGAAGGAGUUCAUAUCCGAUCUAGGUGUAAUACCUAGUGCAUCGGGUCCAAUGAAAAUCUUUUGUGACAAUACUGGAGCAAUUGCCUUGGCGAAGGAAUCCAGAUUUCACAAGAGAACCAAACACAUCAAGAGACGCUUCAACUCCAUCCGCGAUCAAGUCAAGGAGGGAUACAUAGAGAUUUGCAAAAUACAUACGGAUUUGAAUGUGGCAGACCCAUUGACUAAGCCUCUUCCACGAGCAAAACAUGAUCAGCACCAAGAUUCCAUGGGUGUUAGAAUCAUUACAAUGUAAUCUAGAUUACUGACUCUAGUGCAAGUGGGAGACUCAAGGAAAUAUGCCCUAGAGGCAAUAAUAAAGUUGUUAUUUAUAUUUCCUUAUAUCAUGAUAAAUGUGUAUUAUUCAUGCUAGAAUUGUAUUAACCGGAAACAUGAUACAUGUGUGGAUACAUAGACAAAACACAGUGUCCCUAUUAUGCCUCACUAGACUAGCUCGUUAAUCAAAGAUGGUUAAGUUUCCUAACAAUAGACAUGUGUUGUCAUUUGAUGAACGGGACCACAUCAUUAGGAGAAUGAUGUGAUGGAAAAGACCCAUCCGUUAGCUUAGCAUAAUGAUCGUUAAGUUUUAUUGUUGUUCCUUUCUUCAUGACUUAUAGAUAUUCCUUUGACUAUGAGAUUAUGCAACUCCCGAAUACCGAGGGAAUACCUUGUGUGCUAUCAAAGGUCAGAACGUAACUGGGUGAUUAUAAAGAUGCUCUACAGGUAUCUCCGAAGGUGUUUGUUGGGUUGGCAUAGAUCGAGAUUAGAAUUUGUCACUCCGAGUAUGGAAGAGGUAUCUCUGGGCCCUCUCGGUAAUGUACAUCAUGAUAAGCCUUGCAAGCAAUGUGACUAAUGAGUUAGUUGCGGGAUGAUGUAUUAUGGAACGAGUAAAGAGACUUGCCAGUAACGAGAUUGAACUAGGUAUGAAGAUGCCACGAUCGAAUCUCGGGCAAGUAACAUACCGAUGACAAAGGGAAUUACGUAUGUUGUCAUUACGGUUUGACUGAUAAAUAUCUUCGUAGAAUAUGUAGGAACCAAUAUGAGCAUCCAGGUUCCGCUAGUGGUUAUUGACCGGAGAUGUGUCUCGGUCAUGUCUACAUAGUUCUCGAACCCAUAGGGUCCGCACGCUUAACGUUCGAUGACGAUUUGUAUUAUGAGUUAUGUGAUUUGGUGACCGAAUGUUGUUCGGAGUCCCGGAUAAGAUCUCGGACAUGACGAGAAGUCUCGAAAUGGUCGAGAGGUAAAUAUUGAUAUAUUGGAUGAUAGUAUUCAAACACCGUAAGUGUUUCGGAAUGUAUCGGGUACAUAUCGGAGUACCGAGGGUUACCGAAACCCCUCGGGGGAAGAUAUGGGCCAUAGGAGGGAGGCAGGCCAGCCCAUAAGGGGUGGCACGCGCCCCCCCCCCCCAAGGGAGGAGUCCGAAUUCGACAAGGGGAGGGGGUGGCGCCCCCCUUUCCUUCUCCUCCGCUCUCUCCUUCCCCCUUCCCCCUCCGAUAAAAGGAAGGGGGCCGAAUCCUACUAGGAGCCAAAGUGGGACUCCUCCCACUUGGGGCGCGCCUAGGGCCGACCUCCUCCCCUCUCCCUCCUUUAUAUACGGGGGUGGGGGCGCCUCUAACAACAUCAAUUGUUCCAAGCCGUGUGCGGAGCCCCCCUCCACAGUUUACGCCUCCGGUCAUAUUCACGUAGUGCUUAGGCGAAGCCCUGUGCGGAUCACUUCACCAUCACUGUCACCACGCCGUCGUGCUGAUGGAACUCUCCCUCGACACUUUGAUGGAUCAGAAGUUCGAGGGACGCCAUCGACCUGAACGUGUGCAGAGCUCAGAGGUGUCGUACGUGCGGUGCUUGAUCGGUUGGAUCGAUAAGACGUUCGACUACAUCAACUACGUUAAGCUAACGCUUCCGCUUUUGGUAUACGAGGGUACUUGGACACACUCUCCCCCUCUCGUUUCUAUGCAUCUCCAAGAUAGAUCUUGCGCGAGUGUAGGAAUUUUUUUGAAAUUGCAUGCUAUGUUCCGCCAACACCCUCCACCCUUGUGGCUGGCUGGUGGCCCCCUCUGGUACUUUCUUCGCCCAAUAUUUUUUAUAUAUUCCAAAACAUGCUCUGUGAAGUUUCAGUACUUUUGGAGUUGUGCAGAAUAGGUCUCUAAUAUUUGCUCCUUUCCCAGUCCAAAAUUCGAGCUGUCGGCAUUCUCCCUCUUCAUAUAAACCUUAUAAAAUAAGAGAGAAUAGGCAUAAGUAUUGUGAUAUAAUGUGUAAUAACAGCCCAUAACGCAUUAAACAUCAAUAUAAAAGCAUGAUGCAAAAUGGACGUAUCAACUCCCCCAAGCUUAGACCUCGCUUGUCCUCAAGCGAAAGCCGAUAUCGAAAAAUAUGUCCACAUGUUUAGAGAUAGAGGUGUCAAUAAAAUAAAAUACGGACAUGAGGGUAUCAUGAUCAUCUCUAGAACAACAACAUAUAAUGCCAUAUAAUUUCUUAUGCUAAAGUAACAAUUCGUUCACAAGGUAAAGUAUGAAUCAGAAACUUCAUUGAAAACUAACAAACUACGAUCUCAGUCAUUGAAGCAAUUGCAAUUUAUCAUAACAUCGGAAAGAGUCAAUUAAAGAGCUUUUUAGCAAGUCCACAUACUCAACCAUCAUCUAACCUUUCACAAUUGCUAACACUCACGCAAUACUUAUGGGUCCAAAGCUUCUAUCGGACACUGAGAAAGAUAGGGGCUUAUAGUUUCGCCUCCCAACCUUUUAUCUCAAGGGUAAUGUCAACAAUAAUACUUUAUGAAAACCUACAUCCGAGUGGAUAUAUAUAUAUAUAUAUAUAUAUAUAUAUAUAUAUAUAUCCGGAUCUCUCCAACAUAUAGUGCUUGCCAAACGAAAAAGUGUAAAAAGGAAAGGUGAUUGUCACCAUUACUCUUGUAUAAGGGUAGAAAAUAAAAGUAAAAGAUAGCCCUUCGCAGAGGGCAGCAGAGGUUGUCAUGCGCUUUUAUGGUUGGAUGUAUAAAAUCUUAGUGCAAUAGAACGUCACUUUAUAUUUCCGCUUGUUGAUACGUCUCCAACGUAUCUAUAAUUUUUGAUUGUUCCAUGCUAUUAUAUAUUCUAUUUUGGAUGUUUAAUGGGCUUAUUUAUAGACUUUUUUAUUAUUUUUGGGACUAACCUAUUAAUCGGAGGCCGAGCCCAAAUUGCUGUUUUUUUUGCCUAUUUCAGUGUUUCACAGAAAAAGGAUAUCAAACAGAGUCCAAAUGGAAUGAAACCUUCGGGAGCAUGAUUUUUGGAACAAACGUGAUCCAGAGGACUUGGAGUGGACAUCAAGCAACCAACGAGGAGGCCACGAGGCAGGGGCACGCCUACCCCUUGGGCGCGCCCUCCACCCUCGUGGGCCCCUCGUGGCUCCACAAACCUACUUCUUCCUCCUAUAUAUACCUACGUACCCCGAAAACAUCAGAGGAGGAGCCAAACCCUAUUUCCACCACCGCAACCUUCUGUACCCAUGAGAUCCCAUCUUGGGGCCUUUUCCGGCGCUCCGUCGGAGGGGGCAUUGAUCACGGAGGGCUUCUACAUCAACACCAUAGCCUCUCCGAUGAUGUGUGAGUAGUUUACCUCAGACCUUCGGGUCCACAGUUAUUAGCUAGAUGGCUUCUUCUCUCUCUUUGGAUCUCAAUACAAAGUUCUCCUCGAUUCUCUUGGAGAUUUAUUUGAUGUAAUCUUCUUUUGCGGUAUGUUUAUCGAGAUCCGAUGAAUUGUGGGUUUAUGAUCAAGAUUACCUAUGAACAAUAUUUGAAUCUCCUCUGAAUUCUUUUAUGUAUGAUUGGUUAUCUUUGCAAGUCUCUUCGAAUUAUCAAUUUGGUUUGGCCUACUAGAUUGAUCUUUCUUGCAAUGGGAGAAGUGCUUAGCUUUGGGUUCAAUCUUGCGGUGCUCGAUCCCAGUGGCAGUAGGGGAAACGACAUGUAUUGUAUUGUUGCCAUCGAGGAUAAAAAGAUGGGGUUUAUAUCAUAUUGCUUGAGUUUAUCCUUCUACAUCAUGUCAUCUUGCUUAAAGCGUUACUCUGUUCUUAUGAACUUAAUACUCUAGAUGCAUGCUGGAUAGCGGUCGAUGUGUGGAGUAAUAGUAGUAGAUGCAGGCAGGAGUCGGUCUACUUGUCACGGACGUGAUGCCUAUAUACAUGAUCAUGCCUAGAUAUUCUCAUAACUAUGCUCAAUUCUAUCAAUUGCUCGACAGUAAUUUGUUCACCCACCGUAAUACUUAUGCUCUUGAGAGAAGCCACUAGUGAAACCUAUGGCCCCCGGGUCUAUUUUCCAUCAUAUUAAUCUUCCGUCAACAAGUUAUUUCUAUCUUUGUUUAUUGUGCAAUCUUUACUUUCAAUCUUUAUCAUAAAAAUACCAAAAAUAUUAUCUUAUCAUCUCUAUCAGAUCUCACUUUUGCAAGCGGCCGUGAAGGGAUUGACAACCCCUUUAUCGCGUUGGUUGCAAGGUUCUUAUUUGUUUGUGUAGGUGCAAGGGACUUGAGCGUGGCCUCCUACUGGAUUGAUACCUUGGUUCUCAAAAACUGAGGUGUUGGGGAACGUACUAAUUUCAAAAAAUUUGCUACGCACACGCAAGAUCAUGGUGAUGCAUAGCAACGAGAGGGGAGAGUGUUGUCCACGUACCCUCGUAGAUCGAAAGCGAAAGCUUUAGCACAACGCGGUUGAUGUAGUCGUACGUCUUCACGAUCCGACCGAUCCAAGUACCGAACGUACGGCACCUCCCAGUUCAGCACACGUUCAGCUCGAUGACGUCCCUCGAACUCCGAUCCAGCCGAGCUUUGAGGGAGAGUUCCGUCAGCACAACGGCGUGGUGACGAUGAUGAUGUUCUAUCGACGCAGGGCUUCGCCUAAGCACCGCUACGAUAUUAUCGAGGUGGAUUAUGGUGGAGGGGGGCACCGCACACGGCUAAGAGAUCAAGAGAUCAAUUGUUGUGUAUAUGGGGUGCCCCCUGCCCCCGUAUAUAAAGGAGCAAGGGGGGAGGCGGCCAGCCAAGGAGGAGGGCGCGCCAAGGGGGGAGUCCUACUCCCACCGGGAGUAGGACUCCUCCUUUCCUUGUUGGAGUAGGAGAGAAGGAAAGAGGGGGGAGGGAGAAGGAAAAGGGGGCUGCGCCCCUUGUCCAAUUCGGACCAGAGGGGGGGUGCGCGCCUCCUUCCUUUUGGCCUCUCUCCUCUAUUCCCGUAUGGCCCAAUAAGGCCCAAUACUUCUCCCCGGCGAAUUCCCGUAACUCUCCGGUACUCCGAUAAAUACCCGAAUCACUCGGAACCUUUCCGAAGUCCGAAUAUAGUCGUCCAAUAUAUCGAUCUUUACGUCUCGGCCAUUUCGAGACUCCUCGUCAUGUCCCUGAUCUCAUCCGGGACUCCGAACUCCUUCGGUACAUCAAAACACAUAAACUCAUAAUAUAACCGUCAUCUAACUUUAAGCGUGCGGACCCUACGGGUUCGAGAACUAUGUAGACAUGACCGAGACACGUCUCCGGUCAAUAACCAAUAACGGAACCUGGAUGCUCAUAUUGGCUCCCACAUAUUCUACAAAGAUCUUUAUCGGUCAAACCGCAUAACAACAUACGUUGUUCCCUUUGUCAUCGGUAUGUUACUUGCCCGAGAUUCGAUCGUCGGUAUCUCAAUACCUAGUUCAAUCUCGUUACCGGCAAGUCUCUUUACUCGUUCCGUAAUACAUCAUCCCGCAAGUAGCUCAUUAGUUGCAAUGCUUGCAAGGCUUAUAGUGAUGUGCAUUACCGAGUGGGCCCAGAGAUACCUCUCCGACAAUCGGAGUGACAAAUCCUAAUCUCGAAAUACGCCAACCCAACAAGUACCUUCGGAGACACCUGUAGAGCACCUUUAUAAUCACCCAGUUACGUUGUGACGUUUGGUAGCACACAAAGUGUUCCACCGGUAAACAGGAGUUGCAUAAUCUCAUAGUCAUACGAACAUGUAUAAGUCAUGAAGAAAGCAAUAGCAACAUACUAAACGAUCGUGUGCUAAGCUAACGGAAUGGGUCAAGUCAAUCACAUCAUUCUCCUAAUGAUGUGAUCCUGUUAAUCGAAUGACAACUCAUGUCAAUGGCUAGGAAACAUAACCAUCUUUGAUCAACGAGCUAGUCAAGUAGAGGCAUACUAGUGACACUCUGUUUGUCUAUGUAUUCACACAAGUAUUAUGUUUUCGGUUAAUACAAUUCUAGCAUGAAUAAUAAACAUUUAUCAUGAUAUAAGGAAAUAAAUAAUAACUUUAUUAUUGCCUCUAGGGCAUAUUUCCUUCAUGAGGGAAAUACUUAUGCUACUUUGCUGCAUCACCCUUUCUGCUUCAAGGGAAAACCAACGCAGUGCUCAAGAGGUAGCAAGAAGGAUUUCUGGCGCCAUUGCCGGAGAGUCUACGCACAAGUCAAGACAUACCAAGUACCCAUCACAAACUCUUAUCCCUCGCAUUACAUUAUUUGCCAUUUGCCUCUCGUUUUCCUCUCCCCCACUUCACCCUUGCCGUUUUAUUCGCCCUCUUUUUCCGUUCGCCUCUUUUUCGCUCGCUUCGUCAUUAUGGCUAGUCCUUUAUCUACUCCUUUGUCUCCCGAGAACGAAGUUCUUAAUUUUAAACAAAGGGAGGGAGAAAAUCUAAAAGAUGCUUGGUACAGAAUUUGCAAUGCGCAAAAUAGAUCUACUAGGAAGCAAUCUACUUCCGUUCUUCUUCGCAAUUUUUAUGUAGGCAUCACUCCUUAAUUUUUAUGUAGGUAUCACUCCUUGGAAUAGAUAUAUUCUUGAUACCAUUACCGGAGGGAAUUUCUUGGGUAGCCAUACUUUUGAUUCUUAUAAUGCUAUGAUAGAUUUGUUUGGCCCGCCACCUCUUUUGGUUAAUGGAACUAUUUUAACUUUGGAACAUGUGAUGCAACAACUUGAAAUUAUUGAAAAUAAAGUUGCCACCGUAGAGUUGAUAGAAAAUUUGGAUAAGAAGAUCCAUAACCAAAUUACCCAAUACGGAUCUAAGGUAGGAGUUUCUCUAAUUUUUUUAAAGAAAAGGAACCUAUGGUUAAUGAAAAGAUAGAUCAAGAUUCCACUAGAAUUGAUAAAAUUGAGGAUAUUAUUACCAACCUAGGGUUUGCCUUUUCUUCUGUGAAAAACACUCCUCCUAAUGCUAAGAUUGCCAAAUUGAUGUAUAUUCCUAAAAAUAAGGGUGAAACUUCUAGUAAGGGAAAUGCGGAUCUCAAAUCCAUAAGUGUUCACCCCAACUUUCUCGCUAUCCUUAAGGAACCUUUUGCUACAAAUGGUUUUCUAGAUUUCGUGCCUAGGAGUUUGAUAAUUAAUAAAAAUAAAGAAACUCUUAGGGGUUAUAGGUGUCUUAUUAAAGAAUUGCCUACCAAAGAUGGCAAUACCUAGAUCUAUCCUUGCUUUUAUGCCUAGCUAGGGGCGUUAAACGAUAGCUCUUGUUGGGAGGCAACCCAAUUUUAUUUUAUUUUCUUACUUUUUAUUUCUGUUUAGUAAUAAAUCUUUGAUCUAGCCUCUGGUUAGAUGUGUUUUUAUGUUUUAAUUAGUGUUUGUGCCAAGUUAAACCUAUAGGGUCUUCUUGGAUGAUAGUUAUUUGAUCUUGCUGAAAAUUCCAGAAACUUUCUGUUCACGAAAACAAUUGUUAAAAAUCACCAGAACGUGAUAAAAUACUGAUUCCAAUUGAAGUAGAUCAAUAAACAAAUUAUAUAGGUCUUCCUAUUUUGGUAUAAUUUUUGGAGUUCCAGAAGUUUGCGUUAGUUACAGAUUACUACAGACUGUUCUGUUUUUGACAGAUUCUGUUUUUGUGUGUUGUUUGCUUAUUUUGAUGAAUCUAUGGCUAGUAAAAGAGUUUAUAAACCAUAGAGAAGUUGGAAUACAUUAGGUUUAACACCAAUAUAUAUAAAGAAUGAGUUCAUUACAGUACCUUGAAGUGGUGUUUUGUUUUCUUUCGCUAACGGAGCUCACGAGAUUUUCUGUUAAGUUUUGUUUUGUGAAGUUUUCAAGUUUUGGGUAAAGAUUUGAUGGAUUAUGGAACAAGGAUUAGCAAGAGCCUAAGCUUGGGGAUGCCCAAGGCACCCCAAGGUAAAAUUCAAGGACAACCAAAAGCCUAAGCUUGGGGAUGCCCCGGAAGGCAUCCCCUCUUUCGUCUUCAUCUAUCGGUAACUUUACUUGGAGCUAUAUUUUUAUUCACCACAUGAUAUGUGUUUUGCUUGGAGUAUCUUGUAUGAUUUGAGUCUUUGCUUUUUAGUUUACCACAAUCAUACUUGCUGUACACACCUUUUGAGAGAGACACACAUGAUUCGGAAUUUGUUAGAAUACUCUAUGUGCUUCACUUAUAUCUUUUGAGCUAUAUAGUUUUUGCUCUAGUACUUCACUUAUAUCUUUUAGAGCACGGUGGUGGUUUUAUUUUAUAGAAAUUAUUGAUCUCUCAUGCUUCACUUAUAUUAUUUUGAGAGUCUUAAACAGCAUGGUAAUUUUCUUUAAUUGUGAAAUUAAUCUUCCUUAUUGAGUUCAUUGAAUAUCAUGAGAAGUUUGAUACUUGAUAAGUGUUUUGAGAUAUAAAGGUGGUAAUAUUAGAGUGUGCUAGUUGAGUAAUUGUGAAAUUGAGAAAUACUUUUGUUAAGGUUGGCAAGUCCCGUAGCAUGCACGUAUGGUAAAAGUUGUGUGACAAUUUUGACACAUAAGGUGUUCUUUUAUUGCUUUCCUUAUGAGUGGCGGUCGCGGACGAGCGAUGGUCUUUUCCUACCAAUCUAUCCCUCUACGGGCAUGCGUAGUAGUACUUUUCUUCGAGGGCUAAUAAACUUUUUCAAUAAGUAUAUGAGUUCUUUAUGACUAAUGUGAGUCCAUGGAUUAUACGCACUCUCAACCUUCCACAAUUUUCUAGCCUCUACGGUACCGUGCAUUGCCCUUUCUCACCUUGAGAGUUGGUGCAAACUUCGCCGGUGCAUCCAAACCCCGUGAUAUGAUACGCUCUAUCACACAUAAACCUCCUUAUAUCUUCCUCAAAACAGCCACCAUACCUACCUAUCAUGGCAUUUCCAUAGCCAUUCCGAGAUAUAUUCCCAUGCAACUUUCCACCGUUCCAUUUAUUAUGACACGCUCUAUCAUUGUCAUAUUGCUUUGCAUGAUCAUGUAGUUGACAUCGCAUUUGUGGAAACGCCACCAUUCAUAAUUUUUCAUACAUGUCACUCUUGAUUCAUUACAUAUCCAGGUACACCGCCGGAGGCAUUCACAUAGAGUCAUAUUUUGUUCUAAGUAUUGAGUUGUAAGUAAUAAAAGUGUGAUGAUCAUCAUUAUUAGAGCAUUGUCCCAUGUGAGGAAAGGAUGAUGGAGACUAUGAUACCCCCACAAGUCGGGAUGAGAUUCCGGACUAAAUAAAAAAAGAGAAAGAAAAAAAGAGGCCAAAUAAAAAAAGAGAAGGCCAAAAAAAUGAGAGAAAAAGAGAGAAGGGACAAUGUUACUAUCCUUUUUCCACACUUGUGCUUCAAAGUAGCACCGUGAUCUUCAUGAUAGAGAGUCUCCUAUGUUAUUGCGUAAGGGUUGAAAAGGCUGAAGCACGUUAAAAAGUAUGAACCAAUUGCUCGGCUUGUCAUCGGGGUUAUGCAUGAUGAGAACGUUUGUGUGACGAUAUUGAAACAUGGCCUAACUAUAUGAUUUUGUAGGGAUA
rnacentral:lncRNA from 1 species